rnacentral:lncRNA from 1 species
UUUGGGAAAAAGAACGCUGCAAUGGAAAGCCUUUCAUUGUGCAAAUUCACAGUUGCCCGAUGCUCAACACUCUUGUAAAUCCCAUUUGUCACAAUCUGCAUCUCAGUUCAAAAACGUCACAUUGUUCCCAACUGUGUACUAUGUAGCAUACAUUCUUAUAAAAGUUCAAUUAGGCUCAAUAAUAGGAUAUGGUUAACAGGGUAAUCUUAUGAGUCCACCCAUAACUACUGUUAUGCCCAAAAACACUGGAGAUAGAAUUCAUAAGCUAUACCCUGAUAGAUCCAGGACAUGAUUUGUAAGUAACUUGUGUAAUUAGCAUUGAAAUCAAGAAAAAAAGUAAAUUCCUUUCUGAAAAUCAAAACAAACUUGUUGGAAAAAAAAUUAGUACUUUUUUCAAGAUGUUGAAAGGAAAGCAAUUUGAAUUUCAUAUGCCACCACUUGUACAUCACAGGUAAGCAAUGAUUUGAAGGGUGGGUGGAAGAGCAUGUACAAUACUAAUAUUUGAAUUUAUUGUGCCCAAGAUUUACAUUCUUCAGAAAUAUUUCUCGAAUAAUUAAGUAAUUAAUCAAUUACGUUGGUUACUAAUAUGAAUAAAACUACUUUUUCAAUAUAAAGACCUUUUCAUCCAUAUAUUUUAUGCUUUUUUUUUACUUUAUAAAGAUACGUGUUCCAUUAAAGUGCUCAAUAUUCUAUCAAUAAACAACAUUAGUUUAACUCUGACAAAGUAGCCAAAGUUAGAAGUUAGGCACAAAUUUGUCAAAAGUUAAAUUUUGGGAUGAAAGCCACACUUUGUCCUGGCCUCAUUUUCUAGGCGGUGCAAGUUGAUAAUUAGUCUUACAUCAACCUAGUGUGGGCAUACUAAUCAUAAUCGGAAAGAUCAAACCUACUGUAGGCAUAAUAAUCAUAAUCGGAAAGAUUAUCUCUUGAAUCCUAUUAAAAUAUGGGAAGGACAUUCUAAUUUCCAUAUAUGUUCAUAAUUGUAGAAACCAAUUUGAAAAUAUCACAUAAGGGAGCCCAAAAACUAGAUAGAUGUUGUAAUUAUAUAAACAGAAAAGUAAUAUGAAGAGAUUGUUCAUACUCACAUUCCAUCUUUGGAGAAAGGAUUUUGAGCAUGAUUACCUCUAAAAUGUCUCCAACAUUGACUGUGAAUGCAUUAGGAAGUGGUACAACAGGAACCCAAGCUCCAGCCUUUUUGAUUUGGAGGCCUUCCACUUCGUUGACUUGAAGUAAUAUAGUAAGCCCAUCAGCAUCAGAGUGGGGGCAAAGGCCCAUCACUAGCUCAGGUUGGGGACAUGGAGGAUAAUAGUUCAUCCUCAUUGUUUGCAUCCCAUCUUCAAAAAGCAUUGUCAUAUCUUCAAGCUUCAUUCCUAAUGCUUUUGUCAUUUGCUCAAGGACCUUGAUGGCAAGGAUUUUCAAUUCCCUUGAGUACUGAUCUAGAGUUUCUCUACAAUGUUAAAAAAAUGUAAAUAAAAAGUAAAGAAUAUCCAAUAUAUAAUAACAAUGCACAAUGCUUUAGAUGUUAACUAAUUUUUUAUGCAUGCAAGGAUGGAUGUUUUAUCAUCAUCUCACGGUGACACGGCUUAUUAAUUUUCAUCAUAAAGACAAUUAAGAAGGCAAGAUUUAAGAAAGGGAUAAUUUCAUAAACCUUCUCUAAGAUUUUUAACAAUUUCAUUGAGCUCCCUUAAGGUUUCAAAAAUUACACCUACCUCUCCUAAUUUGACACUUUUGGUAACCAAACCUUAGACUUGGUCAAAAUUUUUAAUGAAUAUCCUAAAAUACCCUCAACUUAUAACGUUUGAAUUACUUUCCAGAACAAUCAUAAUAUAUUUAACACAAAUAUACAAAAAGAGUGUGAAGUUUUUAAUACCAUAUUUAUUAUUUGAUAAGCAAAGAUGACAAUAGUUCUAUCACUAUGAUAAACUACUUUUAAUGGUGAUUUACCAGGGUAUGUAUUUUUUAAUUUGAAAAAGAAAAUACCGUCAUAAUUCUUUUAAAGUUCGUAGAAUUUUGGAUUGGUGGAAUUAUCAUAGCUUGGUAGAAAUAUUGGGCUUUUUUUUUGAGUUAAUGUUGCUUUUGGUACCAAAAAAAUCAGCAAGUAAAAAUUAGAUUGCAUUCAAAGUCAUAAAAAUUGUCACUAGUAAAACAUUUAUGCUGUCAAUGUUUAUAUUUUAUGGUUUUAUUGGCAAAAAUAAAAAAGGGAGGAUAAGAAUAGAAUAAGGAAAGAAAAAUAAUUAUUAAUAUCAUUCUUUGUAAAAUAGAGAGUUUUAUUAAAAUGUUAAAACUAAUAUUGUCAUUUUAUGUGGGCAAAGGAGGCAAAUGUUAUUUUUAUAACCUCGAGGGAGCUCAAUGAAAUUAUCAGAAACCUGAGGAGAGGUUUCUGAAAUUGUCCCUUUAAGAAAAGCAAGAGAGGAUAUAUUUCCUAUACCGAGAGAGAGAGAGAGAGACUGUAAUUUAUUUUUUGUCAAUUGUCAUGAUCUACUCUAUUCAUACUCUAACCUAUUCUAGGGGGAGACCCACUGAAUCUAUUAGGGAACCGACGGGAUUGAAUCACCAUCGGAUCAAACUUUUUUACUCUAAUAUAUUUUAGGGGAAGGCUCAACUGAAUUCAUUAAAAAAUCGACCAGAAUUGAAUCACCAUUGAAUCAAACGUACGCACUCAUAUGGAUUUGAAAAACCACAUAUAGUUGCAAAGUGAUGGGGGUAAGAUUUGAACAUUUAACCUCCCACUCCACCAAGACUUUAAGUCAUUGGGUGGCCAAUAGCCAUAUGAUUAAAAGAAGAGAAAUGUUGGAAAACCAUUAAGAAUGAGUCCAAGGUAAAAAAAAUAAGAAGAAAAGGCCUAUCAUGUGGAGACUUUAAGAGAGAUAAUGAUCAAAAUAUUCAAUCCUUAGGACACUUUGUGGCUGAUAAGCUGUCUUUUUUUUUUUUUUGGAGUGGCUGAUAAGCUGUCUUGAUCAUUACACAUGGAAUUUUAUUGAAGGGAUAACAUUCGAUGUGGCAGAAGGUGGGAUGAUUAGCACGGCGUAAGAAUUGAAUUUUAUUGAUCAUUACAGAGGAAACCAAAAAGAUUCAUUGGAUAAGGUGGGAUGAUUUGGCAGAAGUAAAGGGGAAGGGAGGACUAGGAUUCAGGGAGUUACAAGACUUCAAUCAGGCGUUAUUAGCCAAGCAGCUACGGAGAAUACUCACAAAGCCUAAUCUACUGAUGAGUAAGGUAAUGAAAGCAAGGUACUUUUCAGGAGCACCAUUAUGGACAAUGGAAAAGAAACCAAAUGAUUCGUGGAUGUGGCAAAGUAUCCUGCAAUCGAGGGAACUGCUAAAGGAAGGAUUGAGGAUGAGGAUAGGAGAUGGGAACACAGUACAUAUGUGGAAGGAUAAAUGGUUGCUUAGGAAGGGUAGUGGGCUGGUAAGACCGAGGUCUGAUAAUGGAGAAAAUGUCGAGAAGGUAAGUUAAGUCAUUGUAGAUGGAAAAUGGAGCAAGGAGCUACUAGAAAAGGUAUGCAAUGAAGCGGAUGUGAAAGAAAUAUUAAAAAUACCUUUGAGUCUGGAAGUAGGUAAACAUAGGUUAUAUUGGUGUCACUCAUCCACAGGAGUGUACACAGUUAAGUCAGGGUAUAUGGUAGCUAGGGGGCAAAAAAAAAGAAGAGAAGAAGAGAAGGAAAGUAAGUAGUAGAAAUGAAGAGCACACAGGAAUAUGGACAGUGCUGUGGGCAGAACAUUAAACAGAAGUUAAAGCAUUUCGGAUGGAAGUGUCUGAAGAGGAUACUGCCAUAAAUGAGGCCUUUAGAAGGAGGACAGGAAUAGGAGAUCCAAUGUGCAAAGUGUGUGGAACUCAAGUGGAAAAGCUAGAGCACAUGAUGUUUUUCUGUGGAAAUGCAAAAGAAAUCUGGAGGAGAGCUCCAAUAAGCUGGGAUGGUUUGGAAUGUUUUCGAGAGAAUUUCUGGUUGUGGUGGGAGGAGUUGAUGCAACGACCAGAAGAGCUGAAGGAAAGGAGCAUAUAGCCUUAACUGUGAAUAUACUAUGGCAGAUCUGGAAAUCAAGAAUGAAAAACAGUUCCAGAACAGUAGAAAGAGUGCAAUGAGGGCAAUUAAUAAGGCUCUUAUGGAGUGGAAUGAGUACCAAUCAACCCUGGAUGAAACUGAAAAGCAACCAGAGGAAGAGGAGAUGGAGGAGUAUGACAAAAGAUGGGCGCCUCCGACAGGACAACGAAUUAAAAUCAACACUGAUGCAGCGCUACAGGACCAUUGCGGACAAGCAGGGUGGGGAAUUGUGGCAAGGAACAAGGAAGGCAAGCUCGUCCAGUCAUGGGCUUUACCACAAACAAAUUGCACGGAACCAAAACUCGAGGAAGCACUAGCAAUUCGGAAAGUUCUCCAGGUAGCAAGGCAGGAAGGAUGGCAGGAAAUUGAAGUUCAAUCGGACUGUCAAAAAAUCAUAAAGAAGCUGCAACAGGAAGUUACGGAGGACAGCACAUGUGCGACGGUAUUGGAGGAUAUAGGAAGAUUGAAGAAGCACUUCAAGUCCAGCACCUUUUCUUUUAUUAGAAGAGCAGGCAAUGUGGUGGGCCAUGGCAAAAUUUGCAUUAAACUGUUGCUUGAUGUAAUCUGGAAAGGCGACUUUCUCCCCUGGCUAGUCAAUGCCGCAAGGGACGAUUUAACAGAGCAGUUGCUCUGAGUGUAUCUAUGGAUAAGCUAAUGAAAUGCCGUUAUCGUUGUAAAAAAAAAAUAACAUUCGAUGUUUCAUGUCGUACGUCGGCCCCUAAGACAGUACGACUUCCAAAUAAAUGCAUCUACAUAAUAAAUUAGAUAUAUAUAUAUAUAUUACGUGCAUCCGGAUAUUCUCUGCUACAAUUUUUCAUGUAGCAGCAUUUGGCUUUAUUAUUGCCUCCUCGGUUUCAAUUAUAUGUAAAAGGUUUUUUUCUGUGCUGCCUACCAGCAUUAUCAAAUUUUUUUUUCUGAAUAAAGCAUUUUAGUCGUCAAUGGAAAUUAUGGAAUACUUUUUAUAAACAAAUUGUGACCUAGAAUAAAAGAAUAAUUGAGUGGUUAUCGUCUUUUUUACCCCUCAACAACUGAAUGAGACAUAUAUUAUUAUUUUUUUGGACAAAACAAAAUUCACAAACAGUGAUUAAGAUGCUGCAUAACCAUUAUCUACAUCUUUCUUUAUUUACUGUUCUUUAAGAUUUAAGACAAAGUACUUAAUUACCUCAUCAAGUCCUUUAUUAAUUUGCUUAUUAGAAGGGAAUUAUAUAGUUCAAGUCCUAUAUUUCAGUGAUGAAGAUUUAUUGCGUACUUCCGUCUACCAAUUAAUCCCUGAUUUCCAUAAAAUAAAAUCAAUGCAGUAUUUGUAAUCUAUCGAUUUCCCCUCUCCUAAUUUUCCCAAAUCUCUAAUUACAACCCUUAAUUCAUAAACUUCAAUGCAAUGUUGGUAUUACAAAGAUAAUCGACAUUGCCACUGUAGAAAAAAAGGAGCAGAGGACAUAAGGAAUAAAUUAGCACGCAGUAGUAUAUAAAGAACCAAAUUAACCACCACUGCUAUAAUAAAGGACCAAAAUGUUCAUAUUUCCAUCAAUUAAAAUACAUGAAAGAAUCAAACCGCCACACUUAAAUAAUGUCUCUUAUUGUAAAUCCAGUUUAUAACUCAUAAAAAUCAUCAUUUUAUCUCUUUACAAUUUCAAUUCUAGACUUUCAGUUUCUUUAUAUAUAUCAAGAUGUUGACAAUUUAUGUAAAAGAAAAUAGAAAGAUUACAGGUACGGUGAUUUGCAAAGUUACAGACUACUAACCACUUAUUUUCUUAACCUAUUACUAGUCUAUGAUCAUCUUAUCCCUAGCUUUUAAGUAUUUUCACCCACAAAAUUUUAAAAUUUUAGACAAGUGUAGAGAAUUUUAGACGCUUAUGACUUUCAAAAGUUAUACUAUGUGUGAUGUUACUAUAGUCCUCAUGUGUUUGACAACACAAUUCAUCAUUUAAACUUAAUGUAUUUAGAUCUUAAUAUAUUCAGAUACAUUUGAUAACAAAAAAUUGAACAUCUGAAUUAAUUAAGUGCAUUAAAUUUUUUAGGCAAAACUUGCUAUAAAAAAUAAGUGAUAAACUUUUUACUUAUCACCGAAUGUGAUAUACACUCAAACGUAUUUGAUUUAAUAUUAAUAAUUCAAUAAUUUAAUGGAUUCAGAUUUCAGAUUUCAGUUUUCAAACUUCAAUUUUAUCAAAUGCACCCUAAAUACAAUGAUAUGAAUGUGUGUGCAAAUUUUCUUGUACCUGAAUGGAAGAGGAAGGUUGGGAAGUAAAUGAGGUUUUCUCAAGUGAGUUGGCAGAGCGACCAUGAAUAGCAUGUCACCCCAGUUAAGUUUUUGUUCCUCCGAUACAACAAAGGCCUGUCCAUAUCCUUCUACAUCGCCCGGUUCUUGGGCAAAUCUCUUCUUCUCUUCAAUCGUCAAAUUGAAAAACUUUUGCAUCUCUAGUUUCAGUUUGUCCACUAAUGAAGAGCUCACUCCAUGAUUAAUCACCUGGUGACAAAUUGUACUGUCACUAAUUAUUUGGUGCUGACUAUUAUAACACUUCUCCAUUUUAACAGCGGGCAUGUAUAUCCAUUUAAAUUAGAUGAUUGUCCUUGUAUAACAAUUCAAAGAAGAUCCUAGGAAAAGCAGGAAAGAAAAGGAGAUCACUCCUAUUACAUUCUAGUCAUGCAUUAUGUAAUACUACUAGAGAAAACCAAAUGAGUUCAUAUAUUAGGGUAGGCAUGCUUGCUUUUGACAUAAAAUUUCUGGAUAAUUACAAGAAAAGAAACAUUUCAAUAUGAAAAAAAAAACUUGUGGCAAGAUAUAUCAUUUACCUACAGUCCUGAAAAGUCAUAGUUAUUAACAUAAUAAAUAUUUCAGAAUUAUUUUAUUCCCUUGAAAGUAAGUUAAAGUUGUGGUAAAAACCAAAUUGAAAUGACUGGUAGAUUUUGAGCAAAUACUAUUACAAUCAGACUCCAUUAUUAGGUCAACAACAAUACCUAAUAUAUGCAUAUACAAAUACGAAAUGACAAACCUGGAAGAAGCCCCAUUCUUUGCAGGCAAAAUGCAACUUUUCAAGCUCUGGAUUCACUGAUUCAUCCGAAAGCAACCUUUGCAUGUCAAUUACUGGGAUUUCCUCUGUGGAGGCCCCAUCAAGUUUGGUUGGAUCAGGUCGUAUGUAUCGGGGUGGAACUGAUGCAAAUUUCUCCUUAGCCAACUCCUGAACAAGGAUACUUUUAGAGAGCUUCCCAAAUUUAUCAUACCAGAUUCCAUGUUUGUGGUUUCUGUAAAUCUCUACUAUAUACUAUAUACUAUAUAUAUAUAUAUAUAUACACGUAGCUCCAAGUUGCAAUUGAUAUCAAUUCGUGAUCAAGGCACACUUUAUAUGUAUCACUAGGGGGAGUACCCAUGUAUCGCGCGGGUGUUUGGUGCCUGUAAUUAGAGAAAAUUUUUCACUGGACCAAUAAUAAUGCAUUCUGAAAAGCAAUAAUCAUCAAAUAUGACAAAACUAAUAAUAGUACAUUCUAAUUACAGCACAUCUACAAAACUAAAAAUUUUCAUUUUUUUUUGUGGAAAUGCAAAAAAAAAAAUUAAUUAUGUAUAAAUAAAAAAAUUACUAAUUUAAUUAUUGGCACUUUGCUCAUACGUUGGAGGACUGGUAAAAAGUCGUGAAGAGUUAGUAUUUUUAUUAAUGAAAACUUUUCCCGUAAAUGGCCUGCUCUUUAUGGCUUUCUUCGUUAUAUGAUCAAAAUACAUACUUUUUUGUAUUUAUUACGAAUUCACAUAUUGUGACUGUGAAUUAAAAUUUUUUGAGAUCAUAUUUUCAUUCAUUAGUCUUUUUUUUAUUAUCGUUAGUUUGAAUGAAAAAUUUAGUUGCACGGUGUUUGGGAGAAACUUCUAAAGUAACUAUAUAAUCCUAAUAAUUUUUAUAAUUGCUUAGCAUAUUUAUGUCAUGGUAUAUAUUGUUGGUAUGUUUUUAUUAAUUUUAUUAAAUUGUUUGGUAUAUUAGGUGCAAAAAAAUUAUAGUUUCACAAUUUUUUAAAUGUAAUAAAGCAGUGGAGAAACAAUGUACAGUGAACGAAGGAAUUGGAGGGGAAAAAAGAUUACAUCCGGACAUGUCUUAUUUGGUUUAUCUCCCACGCGUUACCACUGCAACAUAAUGAUCCGUAAACUCCUCAUUUUAUAAAUAUACUGUCAUACUCUGAGAAAUCUGUUAUAUGGUAGGAAGGAUCAAAAGAUUCCUUCCAUAAAAGCUUCCUAAAGAGAGCACAUCAGUGACCAGCCUGUCACAAAAUAUCAGUGUCAAUUGUACUAAAAUGUAACCUUAAAGUCUUCACGGAACGUCUCUGGAGUGAUGUAUUCCUUUAUCAAUUUGUAUCAAAAUUGGAUUAGUCCACCUCCAAAAAUUGAUGACUUACAAAAUAGGAUCCACAUACUUUGCUACGCAGAUGAGCUUGCGAUUGUUCAUUAUUAAAGUAGACAACAUCAGCCUAAAGAGAGCAGCACAUCAGUGCCCAGCCUGUCACAAAAUAUCAGUGUCAAUUGUACUACAAAACAGUGCCCAGCCUGUCACAAAAUAUCAGUGUCAAUUGCACUACAAAAUGUAAUUUUAAAUUCUUCAUGGAAACUUCUCUGGAGUGAUGUAUUCCUUUAUCAAUUUGUAUCAAAAUUGGAUUAGUCCAUCUCCAAAAAUUGAUGACUUACAAAAUAGGAUCCACAUACUUUGCUACGCAGAUGAGCUUGCGAUUGUUCAUUAUUAAAGUAGACAACGUCAGCCUAAAGAGAGCACAUCAGUGCCCAGCCUGUCACAAAAUAUCAGUGCCAAUUGUACUACAAAAUGUAACUACUAACACAAAUAUUUAACCAUUCGACAUUGAAAAUACAAAUAAUAAUAACGUAUCUAAUAAUACAGCAAGUUUUAUCACUUAUUAAAAAUUGUGUCUCAAAAUCAAUCUCAUCUAGCUAACGUUCGGACUAAAACUAUUUAAACCAUCAAUUGCAAUUGCUCUAUCAAUAGUAGAGAAUCUGCCUCCAAUUUGAGACUUUUCCCAAACUACGUAUAUACAAUUAAUAUGUCGUUUGGAAUUUGCACUUCAACUAUAAAUGGAUUGGUUUUAGGAUAGAAUUUUAAAUUUAACAUUAUUACCCAUGGAGUUUUUUGCUUCUUAAAUGACUCGUAUACAUCAGAGGUGUUAGGUUUAUGAGUAAAAGAUUACAUCCCAUAUUGGUCCGAGAGAUGGAAAAAGAAUCGUUAAUAUUUAAAUAAGGACCCAAGGUCUAUUGGCUUAAGUUUUUGGUCAAAGUUGGGUUUCUAACUUUCAUAUUGGACUCUUUGGCGGACUCUCACGAGAUGUUUCCCUCUAUCAAGAAUUGGUUUCAUACCAAAGCAAACUAUUAUUGUAAAUAAGCUAGACAGAUUACCUGUUGUUCAAUAGUUUACUAUCCAUACUUCGUAUAAGACAUAAUGCACUUGUUUGUAACUUUCAAAAGAUUUUCAUGUAGGAAUUUUUUGUUUUGAGGAAAAAUGGAUAAUUGUAAACUAAUUUCCGAAUGACAAUAGCGAAUGGAUAGUUACUUAACUGGCAUCAAUAGUUUAAGUCACGGGAUCGAUCCCCUGCAAUCACAAGUACUAAUUCUACACACAAAGGCUACAAUCUUUAGAAACAUAACAAUUCUUUUGCGUUUGCUAAAAGUUGUCCCUUCCCACUCUCAUGCCUCAUACAAAGCAAUAGUAUAUACCAAUCUCUCUCUUUGCGUACUCAAUACUCAUGCGAACAUGUGUAUGUGCAUGUGUACGUGCCAGCAGGCAUAAAAGGGUAAAAGAGAGAGGCUAGUGUGUUUAUAAAUAAAUGUGUGUGUAUGUGUGAAUGCGCAUGCGAGCAAGCAUAAAAGGGUAAAAUUCAAUAUUUUGCUCCAAAGUCCACACAAGACAAAUAAUACAUUUUCUCCUCACUAAUUCAAUUGAUCAAUAACUAUAGGAAACCUUCGAUUGUUUUUAACGCCAUGUAAUCCCACAAAUAGAUGCCAUCAUGUGGAUGUCAACACAUGAAAAACUAUGUUUUUAGACUCGGACUGAGUAUCAACUCAGUUGAAUUCAGAAGUCAGGGGUUAAUGGAUUCGAUCGGGGUUAAAUCAGAUAACGUCAUAAAUAAAAAUUAUUUAAAAAUUUAAAUAUUGUAUGUAAAAUACUUAAGCACAUGUUAAUAUUAAUAAAUGUAUAUUCAUAUAUAUUUGAUGUUUGAAAUAUAUUUAACAAGAAAAUACAAAGAAAUUAGAAUGAUCAAGUAGCAAUUUAUAUUAUUUAAUGAACAUUAACAAGUUUAGAAUUAAAAUUAUGGACUUGACUGAAAAAUAACACCAAACUUUAGGACAAUAUUUGUAAAGUACGAAAUAUUUGAGAUAUAUUAAUAAUUUUUAACAACCUAGGGAUCAAAACAUAAUACUGAAAAUGCUUUAACUUUUUCAAAAAAAAAAAAAAAACUUUGACACCAAUAGAUUCUUCCAGUUUUUCUCGUCAAACUCAGUCGAAUUUGAUUUUUUACCUGAUUUGACUGAAUUUCUAUCUAUUCGAUUUUUUAGAAUAACUCAGACUAGACACUUGUCCGAUUUUCAAUUCGAUCGAUCGAACCAACAUGUCCAGUCCAAGUUUAAAAACACAAAUGAAAAACACAGGAAGAGUAAUGCUCUUAGAAGUGAUACUUCAGAGGUCUAGCUCAUUUGGUCCAUGGACUGGAUGACGUUGGACAAGUGUGUUAGGAAUAUGUCAUAAAAGGGCUUCGUUGCAUUUUGGGCUAAUUAAACUAAGACUGGGAACUGAAAUUGUCUUUUCGUAUUGCCACAUAGAUCGGAUAUUCAAGUUGAAUGUCAUUACCUUCAAAAAAAAAAAAAAGGAUGAAGAAACAUUGGACAUCAUUUUCGUGAUUUUAAUAAUGGCUUAAGUCAAAAGACAUGUAGUAUGCUGACUUGGCAAGAGUUUUUUUUUUUAACCUCUUCUAUUUUUUUUGUUUACGAAUGGAAACCCUCGCUAUCACAAAUUAUUACAUAGACCCUGCCACUUAGACAGACCUUAGGCAGGUACCCCUCCCAAGUCAGUGGAGGUGGCUAGGCUGGUCAACGGAUCAGGGUUCUGAUCGAAACUGAAAAUUCUGAACCCAACCCGUUUUUAUGUAGUAAAUCCAGACCCGACCUGUAUACCAAUGGGUCUUGAUCUUAGAGUUUUGGAAUUGGGUUCGACGGGCAGUGGGACGGAUCUAGGUCUAUUUGGAAAAAAAAUCCAAAUUUAAACAUUUUAAAAUUAAAUCCAAAACCAAACAUAAAUCCAUCUCCAAAAUUAAACAAAUCAAAUUACAAAACUAAAUCACAAAUAACUCAAUCGUCAAUACAAAACUAACCACAAAUCAAUCUACAAAAUCAUUACUAAAUUGUUAAUUUGGUAAAAGAAUGUAUUUAGAAAUAUUCAUAUUUUAUAAUUAUUAAUAUAUUGUUUGGAUCCGGAUUGGAAUCCUAUAUUCCGUAUCCAACCUAUUUUUUGUUAGAGUAAACGGAUCCGGGUAUUGGAAUUAUUUCUCAACCCAUAUUCAGAAAAAAUUAUCCGGCCUGAGCCGAGUUCGGAUCCAAACCUGACCUAUUGACACCCCUAGAGGUAGCCAACCUAGGCCAUGGGCCUUUUCUAUCGCCCAUUGGCCCCAUUUAGAUAAGUAGGGAAGACUUUUUUUUUUUUUUUAUAAUAGGCACAAAUAAGAAACAAAAACAAUUUUAACACAUAUAAAAGUAUUUGGGAAGAGAAGGAGAAUAAAUAUACAAACAAACAUUUAACCAUUUAUUAACUCAAAACUCAAUCAUAACAAUAUCAAAUUGUAACUUUUCGCUUACGACAACUUACAAAUCUAAACUAUGAUAUUUUCCCUCAAAUUUACUCUCAAAACUCGACUCAAUUUUUCAAGUAAUAAUCUACUACUCUAGUAGUAUUUAUGCAUUAUUAAACUUAUUAAACAAAUACAAUUAUAAACUGGAACUUAUUUGGAACUGAUUUGAAAUCUCCUAAACCAAUAUAGAAACUAAACAAACAAGACACCGAAACAAGAAACUAGAAGAAUUAGAAAACUAAAUACUAAGAUAGUUGGGUUUAAUUUCCUUUAUUGCCUUCCUUAAACCAUGCUCGUUAUUGUGCUCACCUCCAAUGUCAUUUCGAACUUGAAUCUCUAUGAAAAACUCAGUUGCAGUAGACACAACAUUUAACUCCAACUUAUGAUUGAUUUUUAGUUUCAUCUUUACACGUAACAGUGGUUGAAACUUAUACUUUUUGAACAAUUUCUUACCUUGAUCACUUAUGUCAAAAAAGUUAAACAUGUUCAUCCAAACUCCAUUCAUUACUCCACAUCACCAAGAAAAUUUUCCAAGACUAGAAAAUCAUAGUUGCCACCUCCAAUGUUUUUAACAUCACCAUAUUUUUUCUUUAAUUUUUUCACACUAACAAUUGCAUCAAUUUUAACAAUCGCAUCUUUCGCUUCAAAAAAUUCAUCAACCGCAAUGAAAUAAAAAAUUUCUCUCUUAUCACAAUCUUUAGUUACAUUUUCCAUAUCACUAACGACUUCACUUUCUUUCUCAACCACAUGUGAAAUUUCUUUUUCAGCCACAAAUUUUUUUCUUCAUGUGUACCCAUAAUUUCUGCAAUUUCCUCUUUCUUUGACUCAUUAAAAAAAAAUUCUCCUACUUCAUCACAAAAUUCUUCUCCGCCAUGACCAUAGAUGAUAGGGUGCGAUUUUAUCAUUUAUUUUAUUAUCAAUUUUCCCUAUUACCUGACCCAAUGUGGAUUAUUUGGUGGAUUCUACUCAUUUUUAGUAUUUUGCGUUUAUUUCAGGGAGUAGAACGAAAAUAUGUUAACAAGUGCCUAUUUGACAGAAAAGAAGUCCAAGUCACAGAGCUUAUCUCGGGGGCAUUGUUGGCAAAGGCAAACUUUUGCCCAUUUUAGUAAUUGCCGAAGACAAAAGGGCGAGAAAGGGGAGUCUUCUUAUUGGAUUGGCUGCCGCACAGUAGGAGGAUGCUUAGUUAGUACUUAGAUACGAAAUGGAGAUUGCAGGGGAUUAGGACUAUCUCGGGAGAGCUUUUGCUCUCUGACUUUUCGUUCGUUAUUUAGGCGUAGCUUCAAUUCACGCAUGUCAGGAGAACAUAGGAGACCUUUGACUUUUCUUUUCGGCUUCUAGUAUCUUUUCCUUCCUUCGUAUGAUGAGAUGAAGGGAAGACACUAAAUCAACCUCUGCAACUUUGCUUUUCGUUAUGCCUUCGAUCGAAUUGAAUUUGCCCAUUUUCCAAUCAAUAGCCGCUGCGUUCUAUUCGAGUUCGUGUGGGUCUUUCACAUUGGAGAUGAACUAAAUUCCCUUUUCUAGUCAAGAAGCAAAGGAUGCUUUGGCUCACCUAAAAUUGUGAGAUCGAUUUAAUUUUACCUUUUUCUUUUAUUUAUUGGUAUUCGCAUAUUCCCUGGUUACAGUACUUAUAAUUGUUUAAUUAAUUGAUUGUCUUGGAUCCGGAUAAUUAGUUAAUUGAUAAUCUAUUGUCAAUUGGGACGUUAAAUCUGUAAUUGUUUAAUUGUCUCAAAAUAGUGAUAACUGGCAUGAUUGGAUUUGUGUCAGGGAAAUACGCGGGCUAAUAUAAACUAACCCUGGUAGUGCGUUAUUUGGUUAGAAUAGAACUCCUCUAAUACGUAAGGCAAUUGGAGAAUUAAAUCUUAUGGGCGUACAUAAGAUUAUUUCUCAAUUAGAGCAGUGAUUAACGAGCGUACCUUAAUCAUCGACACAGUAAGGAGGAGUUAACUGUCAUCGCUUGUUUGACAGUUAUAACCUAUUUAUUAGUAAAUAAUUGGAAUUGCCUUUGUUUCAAUGAUCAAUUAGGUGAACCAUUGCUGGCGUUAUUUCUUGGCUAGAUCCUUAAUUAUCACUCAUUUGAUUUUAGUAAAUUGUUAUUUAAUUUCUAGUUGGCUAUUUUAUUGUUGUUAUUUUAUUUUUAGUUGAAUUGCUUACAUUAUCACCCCUGAUAUAAAAACACCCCCCUUGUCACUGUGAAUUUGAAAAGAAACAAUUACUCCCAGUCCCUGUGGAUUCGACCCUACUCUCGCUAUCUACAGAAAUUACUUUUAUUUGAGCAGGUUUCAGGCUGACAACCUGUCAAUAGAAAUUCAUCAAAAUUUUCCAAACCUCGUUGCUGUAUUUACAUCUAUAAAUUUUUUGGCUACAUGCAAUUGGACUUGGGUGUUGAGAUAUUGGAAUGCCUUGCAAUCUAACUAUUUAUUCUUCUCUAACUCUUAAACUGCUGGAUAAUUCGUUCCUUUAUAGGUUUCGUGAACCCCUUUUAGACAAAAUCCCAAAUUCCAAUAGCUUGAAUUUUUUUUUUCAUCAUCCAACUCCAAAUUUCAAAAUCAUUUUUACCAUCAAAAAUAAAAACAUCACAACGUGAUGAAUAACAUUGAUCCAUGCUUCAAUUUCAUGAACAAGCCCUAGAAUCAAAGUCCAGACCUCUAAUACUUUGUAGGAAAAUAGCCCAUAGGAUAAAUAAUCAAAACAAAUCACACACUCGAAGAAAUAGCAUGGCAGGAAAUAUUUAUAAACAAACAAAUGGAAGGGGCUCAAGAAAGAAAUGAAGGAAACUAAUUCCUAAACUAAUAUAAAAACUAAACAAACAAGACACCAAAACAAGAAAUUAGAAGAAUUAGGAAACUAAAUACUAAGAUAGCUUGGUUUAAUUUCCUUCGGUUAGUGAAACUAGUUAGGAAAGGAGUUUGGUAGUCAUUCCUUUCUUAUAGUCAAUCUUUCCCUCUGCAUCUCUUUCUUCUUCUCUCGUUCUGAUAUUCCUCGUUCUUCAACUAAUUCUUUCCUUCUCUAGUUCAUUUUUCUCCCAAAUCAAUACUUAAUUUGGACUCCAAUGCUUGAGUCCCUGAUAGUUGUUGGUAUGAAGCGUUGACUCUGGCUGCUUGAAUACCCCCUGAUCAUGGCUGAAACUACUUGUUUUAAGUGUUUGAAGGAGUAGGUCAAGAAACAGAAGCAAGGUUGAACAAGGCUCUGGCUUCCAUAGGAAAUUUUAUCAGCAGUUAGACUCCAUGAAUAAUUUCCAGCAACAUUUUAAAGAUGAGUGGGAAAGUAAUGGCAAGAAGAUGGAGUCCAUGAUUCAUAAUGUGCAUCAGAAAUUCAGCUCCUCUAUGAUGUUGAUGUCUUGUAAAGACAAUCAGAAAGUGAUCUGCGAAGAAGAAAAUUUUGGGAUUCCCACCUCCUAGAAGCAACAGAAGUUGCUGUCCACCAAUGAGCCUGGAGCGACUACUAAGGAGAACUGGAGUAGGAUUCCUUUUCCCAGUUACUCUUAAGGUUGAAUUACCUAUGUUCUUUGGGGAUAAUCUCAGGGAAUGAGUCAGAAAUGCCAUAAAUUAUUCUUGUUUUACAAAUUUUUUUGAUGAAAAUAGAAUGAAUGUGAUUGGAAUGUAUUAUGAGGGAAUAACAGAUAACUAGUUUCUAGUGGUCAAGAUUGAAAAACCUAGCUAGUUUGUCUUGGAAGGAAUUAAAGAACUAUCGUGCACACAUUUGUUGACAGAGGAAAUUUGGAAUAAUUCAAUAAGUCGCAAUAGAUUGGUAAUUUAGAAUAAUACCAAGAGAAGUUUGAACAGUUGAAAACUUUGAUGCUCCGCAGGAGUAAUAAGACUUAGUGAACGACAUUCUGUCUCCAGUUUCAUUAGCGGCUUAGAGAAGAAAUUAGGCAUGGUCAAGAUGUUCAAACCUGAGAUUUUAAUAGUAGCAUUUGACGUAGACAGAUUAGACAAGGGGGUAGGCAGAAUGUGGACUCCAGAUUUGAAUUAUAUAAAAUCAAAAUUGGCCAUGGUAUUGGAACUAAUAGCUAUAGGCUCCCUCAUUAUCGAGUUGAAAAAGGAGCUUCUGCUAAUCAGGAUUCUAGUCCUAACAUCAUAUAGAAAAUUUCACCAUCCAAUACCAGAGGAAUAAUAAUUUUUGUUUCAAGUGUGGCCAGCAAAUUUGGAGCAGGACAUCAAAGUAAAAUGAAGCAGCUGUAUCUGAUGGCAGAAUAUGAAGAGGAGGAAAUCGAGUUUGCAGAUGUCCAAGGGAAGCAAGAUGAGGUUACCAGUAAUAUUGGGGUUGUGGUAGACAUGUCAUUUCAUACUUUGUCUUCAGGGCUCAAAGAAAGACCAUUACUCUACAACAGGUUAUGAGAAGUGUAGUAGUGAACGUAUUGGUGGACACUAGAACUUCUAAUUGCUUUAUCAGUCACAGCUUAGCAAAAGAUUCUGAUGACUAAGUUACUAGUACGUAAGCUAAUUGUAGUCGGCGAGUAAGUGCAUUCCACAUGACAUUUUGGGCUUUUAUAGGAGUGUUGUGGCACAUUAGGUAAAUGUUGGAAACAAAAUGUAAAUAUUGGAAGUCCAGGGAGAGGACAGAUCCAAUCAAAACAAAGUUUAUUCACACCAUUUUGUUCCCCUGAGCUUUGGAUUUGGAGGUACUCAUACUUUACCACCUUAAACCUUAAGAGUGACUUUCUUGAGAAAAUGCCGUGCACGUGGGAAGCCUUGAGAAUCCUUGCAAAUCCAGCUCCAAGAUGUGCUAAACCAAUCGUGACUAGUAGUUUACUAGCAUUAGGAAACAAGAAAGAAGGAAACUUCAGUAGUUGCCUUAUCUCUUUGUUUUCCUUAUUUGCUGGAAAAACCAACGAGAUGAGGGACUAGUCAUUGUUUAGAUUAGGGAGAUUCUUCUAUUAUUCGUCUUCGUCCCGAGGCGAGGCCGCAAGACAGGAGAUAAUUCCUUCUUCGUGCCUUUACUCUUCUUCCGUGAAACAUAUUAGAUUGUUUUAAGAACAAAGUUUGAUAUUCAUGAAUUCUACUAAUACGCGUGGAAAUUUCUCUAUGAGGCGUGGCUAAGUUCCUCAUCUAGUCGAAGAUCAACUUGAAAACUCGUUCAAACAUCUGUGAGUUUAAUUUCCUUUAUUGCCUUCCUUAAACCAUGCUCGUUAUUGUGCUCACCUCCAAUGUCAUUUCGAACUUGAAUCUCUAUGAAAAACUCAGUUGCAGUAGACACAACAUUUAACUCCAACUUAUGAUUGAUUUUUAGUUUCAUCUUUACACGUAACAGUGGUUGAAACUUAUACUUUUUGAACAAUUUCUUACCUUGAUCACUUAUGUCAAAAAAGGUAAACAUGUUCAUCCAAACUCCAUUCAUUACUCCACAUCACCAAGAAAAUUUUCCAACACUAGAAAAUCAUAGUUGCCACCUCCAAUGUUUUUAACAUCACCAUAUUUUUCCUUUAAUUUUUUCACACUAACAAUUGCAUCAAUUUUAACAAUCGCAUCUUUCGCUUCAAAAAAUUCAUCAACCGCAAUGAAAUAAAAAAUUUCUCUCUUAUCACAAUCUUUAGUUACAUUUUCCAUAUCACUAACGACUUCACUUUCUUUCUCAACCACAUGUGAAAUUUCUUUUUCAGCCACAAAUUUUUCUUCUUCAUGUGUACCCAUAAUUUGCAAUUUCCUCUUUCUUUGACUCAUUAAAAAAAAAACUUUUUCUUCUCCACCAUGACCAUAGAUGAUAGGGUGCGAUUUUAUCAUUUAUUUUAUUAUCAAUUUUCCCUAUUACCUGACCCAAUGUGGAUUAUUUGGUGGAUUCUACUCAUUUUUAGUAUUUUGCGUUUAUUUCAGGGAGUAGAACGAAAAUAUGUUAACAAGUGCCUAUUUGACAGAAAAGAAGUCCAAGUCACAGAGCUUAUCUCGGGGGCAUUGUUGGCAAAGGCAAACUUUUGCCCAUUUUAGUAAUUGCCGAAGACAAAAGGGCGAGAAAGGGGAGUCUUCUUAUUGGAUUGGCUGCCGCACAGUAGGAGGAUGCUUAGUUAGUACUUAGAUACGAAAUGGAGAUUGCAGGGGAUUAGGACUAUCUCGGGAGAGCUUUUGCUCUCUGACUUUUCUUUUGUUAGUUUAGGCGUAGCUUCAAUUCACGCAUGUCAGGAGAACAUAGGAGACCUUUGACUUUUCUUUUCGGCUUCUAGUAUCUUUUCCUUCCUUCGUAUGAUGAGAUGAAGGGAAGACAUUAAAUCAACCUCUGCAACUUUGCUUUUCUUUAUGCCUUCGAUCGAAUUGAAUUUGCCCAUUUUCCAAUUAAUAGCCGCUGCGUUCUAUUCGAGUUCGUGUGGGUCUUUCACAUUGGGGAUGAACUAAAUUCCCUUUUCUAGUCAAGGAGCAAAGGAUGCUUUGCCUCACCUAAAAUUGUGAGAUCGAUUUAAUUUUACCUUUUUCUUUUAUUUAUUGGUAUUCGCAUAUUCCCUGGUUACAGUACUUAUGAUUGUUUAAUUAAUUGAUUGUCUUGGAUCCGGAUAAUUAGUUAAUUUGAUAAUCUAUUGUCAAUUGGGACGUUAAAUCUGUAAUUGUUUAAUUGUCUCAAAAUAGUGAUAACUGGCAUGAUUGGAUUUGUGUCAGGGAAAUACGCGGGCUAAUAUAAAAUAACCCUGGUAGUGCGUUAUUUGGUUAGAAUAGAGCUCCUUUAAUACGUAAGGCAAUUGGAGAAUUAAAUCUUAUGGGCGUACCUAAGAUUAUUUCUCAAUUAGAGCAGUGAUUAACGAGCGUACCUUAAUCAUCGACACAGUAAGGAGGAGUUAACUGUCAUCGCUUGUUUGACAGUUAUAACCUAUUUAUUAGUAAAUAAUUGGAAUUGCCUUUGUUUCAAUGAUCAAUUAGGUGAACCAUUGCCGUUAUUCUUGCUGCGUUAUUCAUUGGCUAGAUUCUUAAUUAUCACUUGUCAUUUAGAUUUUUGUUAUUGUUAUUUAAUUUCUAGUUGUUGCUAUUUUAUUUUUGUUAUUUUAUUUUUAGUUAAAUUGCUUACAUUAUCACCCCUGAUAUAAAAACACCCCCCUUGUCACUGUGAAUUUGAAAAGAAACAAUUACUCCCAGUCCCUGUGGAUUCGACCCUGCUCACCGCUAUCUACAGAAAUUACUUUUAGUUUGAGCAGGUUUCAGGUUGACAACCUGUCAAUAGAAAUUCAUCAAAAUUUUCCAAACCUCCGUUGCUGUAUUUACAUCUAUAAAUUUUUUGGCUACAUGCAAUUGGACUUGGGUGUUGAGAUAUUGGAAUGCCUUGCAAUCUAACUAUUUAUUCUUCUCUAACUCUUAAACUGCUGGAUAAUUCGUUCCUUUUAUAGGUUUCGUGAACCCCUUUUAGACAAAAUCCCAAAUUCCAAUAGCUUGAAAUUUUUUUUUUCAUCAUCCAACUCCAAAUUUCAAAAUCAUUUUUACCAUCAAAAAUAAAAACAUCACAACGUGAUGAAUAACAUUGAUCCAUGCUUCAAUUUCAUGAACAAGCCCUAGAAUCAAAGUCCAGACCUCUAAUACUUUGUAGGAAAAUAGCCCAUAGGAUAAAUAAUCAAAACAAAUCACACACUCGAAGAAAUAGCAUGGCAGCGAAAUAUUUAUAAACAAACAAAUGGAAGGGACUCAAGAAAGAAAUGAAGGAAACUAAUUCCUAAACUAAUAUAAAAACUAAACAAACAAGACACCAAAACAAGAAAUUAGAAGAAUUAGGAAACUAAAUACUAAGAUAGCUUGGUUUAAUUUCCUUCGGUUAGUGAAACUAGUUAGGAAAGGAGUUUGGUAGUCAUUCCUUUCUUAUAGUCAAUCUUUCCCUCUGCAUCUCUUUCUUCUUCUCUCGUUCUGAUCAUUCCUCGUUCUUCAACUAAUUCUUUCCUUCUCUAGUUCAUUUUUCUCCCAAAUCAAUACUUAAUUUGGACUCCAAUGCUUGAGUCCCUAAUAGUUGUUGGUAUGAAGCGGUUGACUCUGGCUUCUUGAAUACCCCCUGAUCAUGGCUGAAACUACUUGUUUUAAGUCUUUGAAGGAGCAGGUCAAGAAACAGAAGCAAGGUUGAACAAGGCUCUGGCUUCCAUAGGAAAUUUUUAUCAGCAGUUAGACUCCAUGAAUAAUUUCCAGCAACAUUUUAAAGAUGAGUGGGAAAGUAAUGGCAAGAAGAUGGAGUCCAUGAUUCAUAAUGUGCAUCAGAAAUUCAGCUCCUCUAUGAUGUUGAUGUCUUGUAAAGACAAUCAGAAAGUGAUCUGCGAAGAAGAAAAUUUUGGGAUUCCCACCUCCUAGAAGCAACAGAAGUUGCUGUCCACCAAUGAGCCUGGAGCGACUACUAAGGAGAACUGGAGUAGGAUUCCUUUUCCCAGUUACUCUUAAGGUUGAAUUACCUAUGUUCUUUGGGGAUAAUCUCAGGGAAUGAGUCAGAAAAUGCCAUAAAUUAUUCUUGUUUUACAAAUUUUUUUGAUGAAAAUAGAAUGAAUGUGAUUGGAAUGUAUUAUGAGGGAAUAACAGAUAACUAGUUUCUAGUGGUCAAGAUUGAAAAACCUAGCUAGUUUGUCUUGGAAGGAAUUAAAGAACUAUCGUGCACACAUUUGUUGACAGAGGAAAUUUGGAAUAAUUCAAUAAGUCGCAAUAGAUUGGUAAUUUAGAAUAAUACCAAGAGAAGUUUGAACAGUUGAAAACUUUGAUGCUCCGCAGGAGUAAUAAGACUUAGUGAACGACAUUCUGUCUCCAGUUUCAUUAGCGGGCUUAGAGAAGAAAUUAGGCAUGGUCAAGAUGUUCAAACCUGAGAUUUUAAUAGUAGCAUUUGACGUAGACAGAUUAGACAAGGGGGUAGGCAGAAUGUGGACUCCAGAUUUGAAUUAUAUAAAAUCAAAAUUGGCCAUGGUAUUGGAACUAAUAGCUAUAGGCUCCCUCAUUAUCGAGUUGAAAAAGGAGCUUCUGCUAAUCAGGAUUCUAGUCCUAACAUCAUAUAGAAAAUUUCACCAUCCAAUACCAGAGGAAUAAUAAUUUUUGUUUCAAGUGUGCCAGCAAAUUUGGAGCAGGACAUCAAAGUAAAAUGAAGCAGCUGUAUCUGAUGGCAGAAUAUGAAGAGGAGGAAAUCGAGUUUGCAGAUGUCCAAGGGAAGCAAGAUGAGGUUACCAGUAAUAUUGGGGUUGUGGUAGACAUGUCAUUUCAUACUUUGUCUUCAGGGCUCAAAAGAAAGACCAUUACUCUACAACAGGUUAUGAGAAGUGUAGUAGUGAACGUAUUGGUGGACACUAGAACUUCUAAUUGCUUUAUCAGUCACAGCUUAGCAAAAGAUUCUGAUGACUAAGUUACUAGUACGUAAGCUAAUUGUAGUCGGCGAGUAAGUGCAUUCCACAUGACAUUUUGGGCUUUUAUAGGAGUGUUGUGGCACAUUAGGUAAAUGUUGGAAACAAAAUGUAAAUAUUGGAAGUCCAGGGAGAGGACAGAUCCAAUCAAAACAAAGUUUAUUCACCAUUUUGUUCCCCUGAGCUUUGGAUUUGGAGGUACUCAUACUUUACCACCUUAAACCUUAAGAGUGACUUUCUUGAGAAAAUGCCGUGCACGUGGGAAGCCUUGAGAAUCCUUGCAAAUCCAGCUCCAAGAUGUGCUAAACCAAUCGUGACUAGUAGUUUACUAGCAUUAGGAAACAAGAAAGAAGGAAACUUCAGUAGUUGCCUUAUCUCUUUGUUUUCCUUAUUUGCUGGAAAAACCAACGAGAUGAGGGACUAGUCAUUGUUUAGAUUAGGGAGAUUCUUCUAUUAUUCGUCUUCGUCCCGAGGCGAGGCCGCAAGACAGGAGAUAAUUCCUUCUUCGUGCCUUUACUCUUCUUCCGUGAAACAUAUUAGAUUGUUUUAAGAACAAAGUUUGAUAUUCAUGAAUUCUACUAAUACGCGUGGAAAUUUCUCUAUGAGGCGUGGCUAAGUUCCUCAUCUAGUCGAAGAUCAACUUGAAAACUCGGUUCAAACAUCUGUGAGAUCGAAUUAUUUUACUUAUUUCUUUUAUUCAUUGGUAUUUGUACGUUUUUUAGUUUAACUUUUUAUGAUUGUUUUGUUAUUUGAAUGUCAAUGGCUCGAUAUUCAAAUUAACUUAAUAAUCUACUGCCAGAUUAAUUGAUUGAAUCCGUAAUUGUUUAAUUGAUUAAUACCAGUGGCAACUAGCGUGAUUGGUUCCAUGUUAGAGAAACGCAUGAUCUAAUUUAAACAAACCCUCGUAGUGUAUUUGUUAGUUAGGGUUGGAUUUUUCUAAUUCUUAAUGCAAUUUAGAAAUUAAAUCCUACGGUCGUACUUAGGAUUAUUAUUUGGUUAGAGAAAUAGUUAACGGUCGUAUCUUGACUAUCGAAAAAGUAAGGAAAGGCUCUAUUAAUGAGUAAUUGAAUUAUCUUUGCAUCGAUGAUCAGUUGAAUGAACUGUGUCUGAAAAGUUUCACCUUUGGCUAGAGUCGUAUUGGUUAUUAGUUAAUUCUUGUUUAUUUCUAUUAGUUGUUUCAUUAGUUAGUUAAUUAGUUAUUUUAUAUUCUCCAAAAAUCCCCCAUACUUCGGACUCUGGAAGAAACGAAUUAUCCCCAAUCCUUGUGGAUUCGAUCCUACUCACCGCUAUAUACAAAAUUUGUAUUAUUCUUGACUAGAUAAUUAUUAUUGCACAGGCUCAACACCUGUCAAUUUUUGGCGCCGUGGCCGGGGAUUGGUGCAUGAUAAUUUGUUUCUUUUUUAGUUCAUCUUAUUUUUAUUUCUAUUUUUUCUCUUAUUUCUUUUUUUUUUUAGUAGUUUAUGGUUGCUGACAUUUCGUAUUUUGGUGAUAGACUGGAUUUUAUUCCUACAAAAGGAAAUGAAGCUUAUGUUUUUUCUGAUGAUCAAUAUUCAGAUUCACUAAGCUUUCUUAUAGACAAAAUGGCUGCUGCAACUUUUGGGAUUUGUUAUGCCACAGAUCAUUCAACCAGUAUGUGCUCUGAAUAUCAAAUUACCUGAAUGUCUAUCUGAUAGGUUGCAAUUUUAUCAUUUAUUUUACUAUUAAUUUUCCAUAUUACCUGAUCCGAUGUGGAUUAUUGUUAAAUUCUACUCACUUUUGGUAUUUUGCAUUUAUUUCAGGGAGUAGAAUAAAAAUAUGAUAACAAGUGUCAAUUUGACAGAAAAGGAAUCCAAAUAACAGAGCUUAUUCCUGGGGCAUUUUUGGAAAAGGAACACUUAUUCCCAUUUUGGUAAUUACUGCAAAAGAAAAAGGACGGCUAGAGGGCUUCUUCUUCCUGGUGGGAGCCGCCGCACAGGAGUUGCUUAGUUAGUAAUUUGAUAGAAUAGGAAUAGAUAGCAGAGAACAAGCAAUAUCUUUGGCUUUUGACUUUUCUUCGUUUCUUUAGUUCUUAGUAGUUUUUUAUCUUCUUGGUACGUAGGACUUUUAGCUUAGCUUUUCUUUUGACUCUUCCUUGGAGUCUUGGGUGGAUUUCUCCUGCGCAUGUCUGGAGCAAUUGGAGGAUUCAAUCACUUUUUGUAUUCUUUUACCAAUUGAACGAAUUGAACUCCCUCAAUCAAGGACAAUGGCCGUGACUUUCUCUUCAAUUUUGUAUGGAUUUUUUGCAUCAAAUAUGAACUAAUUUUCUCACUCUAGUAAAGGGACAACGGAGGCUCUAGUUUGUCUAAAAUUUGUGAGAUUGAUUUAAUUUUAUCUUUUUCUUUUAUUCAUUGGUAUUCACAUAUUCCUUAAUUGCAGUAUUUAUAAUUAUUUAAUUAAUUGAUUGUCUUGGAUCCGGAUAAUUAGUUAAUUUGGUGAUCUAUUGUCAAUUAGGGCAUUAAAUCCGUAAUUGUUUAAUUGUCUUGAAUUAGUGACAACUGGCAUGAUUAGGUUUGUGUCAAAGGGAUACGCGGGAUAAUCUGAAAUAACCCUGGUAGUGCAUUAUUUGGUUAGAAUAGAGCUCCUCUAAUACGUAAGGCAAUUGAGGAAUUAAAUCUUACGGGCGUACCUAGGAUUAUUUCUCAAUUAGAGCAGUAAUUAACGAGCGUACCUUAAUCACCGACGCAGUAAGGAGGGGUUGACUGUCAUCACUUGUUUGACAGUUAUAACCUAUUUAUUAAUAAAUAAUUGAAAAUAUUUGUGUAUCGAUGAUUAAUUAGGUGAACCAUUGCUGAGACUAUUUCUUGACUAGAUUUUUAAUUAUUAUUACCUUGAUUUUAGUGAAUUAUCAUUUGAUUUUUAGUUUCCUAUUUUAUUUUAUUUUUAAUUGUUUCCUUGUUUUAGACCUUUAAUUAUUGUUACUCUGAGUUUAGUGAAUUGUCAUUUAAUUUCUAAUUAGUUAUUCAUUUUUAUUUUUUAUUUGAAUUUUUUUGAUUGUCGUCGUUUAUACAAAAUCACCCCCUGUGUUACUUUGAAUUUCUUAAGAGACAAAUACCCUCAAUCCCUGAGAAUACGACCCUACAUGCCCUGUCUACAAAUUCAUAAUUAUUUGUGAAAAAAAGCCAUCCCAUUCGAGUAUAUUGGAUCAAGCAAACUUUUCGGGAAUAGGGUGAAUCAAGUAACCCAUUGCACACUUAGAGUCCCUACUCCAGUACUUGGAAUCGGGUGUUGGCUACUUUAACUGGCAAUUAGGUUUAUUUUUAUUAUUGUACAGGGUUCGACAACCUGUCAAUUUUUGACGCUGUUGCCGGUGACUGGUAUCAAUUGUUUAUUUCUUUUUAAAUUCAUUUUUGUUCUAAUUUUUUGGUGCUUUUCGAGUGUAUGCCUCGUUCUUCUCAUACAGGUGAAUUAAUUUUCGAUCCCGAGAUAGAGAAAACUGUUCAUAGAACAAGAAAAGAGACUAGACAACUCAGAGAAGAGCACUCCAGUGCUACAUUUCAUAGACUUGAGUCAGAAGUUGAACUAACAGAUUCGUUUGGUGACAUUUCGAGUGACCCUGAUUAAGAAGAAGUCACCAUGGCUACUGCAUGAACACUAAGGGAGCUGGCUGCUUCUGAUUUAAAUCAGCAGCCUUUGUGCAUUACUUUCCCGAGUUUAAGUGAUAACACUCCUUUUGAACUAAAAUUUGAUCUAAUUCAUCUUCUGCCAUCUUUUCAUGGUUUACCAGGUGAGGAGUCUUAUAAGUAUUUGCAAGAGUUUGAUGUCGUGUGCAACAGUAUGAAGCUCUCGGGCAUUACCGAAGAGCAAAUAAAAAUGAGAGCAUUUUCCUUUUCCUUGAAAGACUCUGCAAAAAACUGGUUGUACUACCUACCACCAGAUAGUAUCACCACGUGGGACUAACUGAAGAAAAAAGUUCUUAGACAAGUAUUUUCCUGCGUCUCGAGUUGCAAGUCUAAGAAAAGAGAUUUGUGGCAUUAAGCAACACCCAGGGGAAUCGCUUUAUGAUUACUAGGAGCGAUUCAAGAAAUUGUGCAUCAAGUGCUCCCAACACCAAAUAAGUGAGCAGUUGCUAAUACAAUAUUUUUACGAGGGGCUACUCUUCAGAGACAGAAAUAUCAUUGAUACUGCGAGUGGAGGGGCACUAGUGAACAAGACCCUUCGAACAGCAUGGGAACUAAUUGAGGGAAUGGCUGAGAAUUCGCAACAGUUUGGUACGAGGGAGGAUGUCCCGAUACGCAAAGUCAAUGAGAUAUGGACAUCCUCUAUCCAGCAGUAGCUGACUGAGUUGACUUCUUUUAUUAGGCAACUGGAUGUAGGAAAUGAAUCUCAGGCUAAGGUGUGCGGAAUUUGCACUGGUAUGGGUCACUCUACAGAGAUGUGCCCAAUGAUUCAAGAGAAAAGUGCAGAGCAAGUGAAUAUGGCUGGUUCCGCGCCCGUGCCAAGAAAGCCCUAUGACCCAUAUUUAAGUACCUACAACCCUGGUUGAAGAGACCACCCCAACCUCAGUUAUGGAGGGAACAGACAGUCUAAUUUCGUGCCAAAUAGACAACAAGGGUACUAGUAGCAAUACCAAUCCCAACCACCUCCGCCACCGAAUUCUAGUCCAUCUUUGAAGGAGAUGAUGAAACAACUGAUGGCUAUUACCACGCAACAUCAGCAAAAGAUAGACUCCGAACUGCAAAACAUAAGAAAUCAACUGGGAUAGGCAAGUAAUGCAAAAUCAGAUGAAUCAGAUGGCAGUGACAAUCAAUCGCCUGGAAUCCCAAGUUUAUAAAAAAAUUGCCAUCUCAACCUGAAUUGAACCUGAAGAAUGUAAGUGUGAUGACUUUAAGGAGCGAGAAGGAAAUUCAGGGAUUUGACCUUACUAUUUGAAAGGACAAGGAUGAGGAAAAGAUCGAAAACGAGUUUGAGAAGGAGGCCAGUAAUGGCACAGAUCCAAAGGUACUCCUAAACCCACCCAUUACAGUAAAAACUAACCCGCCUCUCUUUCUUAGCAGGUUAGAGAAACCGAGGAAGCAGGAUAAGGAGAAGGAGAUCCUUAAGGUGUUCCGCAAAGUGGAAAUCAAUAUUCCUCUAUUAGACUCCAUCAAACAAGUGCCGAAAUAUGCAAAGCUUUUGAGGGACUUGUGCGUCAAUCGAAAGAGGCUGAGGGGAGAUGAAAGAGUCAUCGUGGGAGAGAAUGUGUUCGCAGUUUUGCAGAGGAAGCUCCCACUGAAGUAUGGGGAUCCAGGUAGGUUUACUGUCCCAUGUAAGACAGGUAAUACUUUGAUUAGGAAUACCCUGCUGGAUUUGGGAGUAUCGAUCAACGUAAUGCCUAAAUCUAUGUAUGCUUCUCUGAACCUCGGUCUAUUAAAAGAAACGAGAUAAUAAUUCAAUUAGCUAACUGAACAAAUGCAUACCCUGAUGGGUUAAUCGAGGAUGUGCUGGUUAAAGUUAAUGAAUUGGUAUUUUCAGCUGACUUUUAUGUACUUGACAUGGAUGAUGAUCAUUCCCUUGACCCCUCACCUUUGCUACUAGGUAGACCUUUUUUUAGUACAGCACAUACAAAAAUUGACGUUAAUAAAGGUACAUUGUCAAUGGAAUUUGAUGGAGAACUGGUCAACUUUAAUAUUUUUUAUACAAUGGAACAUCCUGUUAACUCUCACUCUGUAUUUGCUAUUCAUGCUAUUAAUCCCUCUGUACAAGAAUAUUCUGAGUUUGCUUGUAGGGAUAAAUUCAAAUUUACUGAGAACAAGUAUAAGGGGAUGAAAGCAACGUAUGAGGUGAAAAGGAAUAGGAAAUUAAGAAAGAAGGUUGCACUCAAAAGUUAUUUGGAUCCUAGAGGAAGGCCACCGAUUACAAGAAAAUUUGAGUUACACCCAAAUUGAAAAUUGGUGUUUAAUGUCUAGCCAAAAAUAUUAAAAAAAAGCGCUCAUUAGAAGGCAACCCAAUUUUUUUUAGUCAUUUGUUCAGUUUUUUUUGAUAGUUUGAAUAUGUUUUCCUUGUUUUUGACUGAUUUUGGAUUUCAAUUUUCGUUGUUGAUGAUUCGUAGGUGUCUCUUUGAUUUGACGCGCCCGCGUCAAGUUGUUUGGAGAGCUCAUGGUCAGAAGGAUUCUUGCCUUUUUAACACGCCCGCAUCAAGUCGUAUGGAGAGCUCAUGGUCAGAAGGAUUUCUGUCCUCUUGACGUGCCCACGUCACGUUCGCGGCAAAAGUAAGUAUUCAAAAUUCGAAAACAGAUUUCGAUUUCCUGUUACUCUCUAAUUUUGAAUUUCGACAAUAAGUUUUGUUCAUAAUAAUAAUAUUAAAAAAAAACUAAAAAAUUUUUAAAAAGAAGAUUUUUUUAAAAAAAUUUUUUAAUUACACAAAAAAAAUGGGUCUUUCCGUUUAGCUAUAACUUCUGAUUUCCAAAAUUAGAAUUUAGAAAAAUCUAAAAAUGAAAAAAAAUGAAAAAAGAAAGAAAAAAACAAAAAAAAAUUAUUUUGUUUUUCUUUUUCUCUUUUUUUCUUUCUUUUCUUUUUUUUCUUUGUUUUUUCUUUCUUUCUUUCUUCUUCUUUCUUCUUCCCUGUUUCUUCUUCUCUUUCGACCGAGCACCCCUCACGCCCGCCACUAUCUCGCUCACCAUUCACGUCGCAUCGCCACCACUUUCAGUCGCUCCAUCAUCGUGCUUCGGAAAGCACUUGAAUUUGGCAGCUCUCAUGCAUCAUACGGGUCUUACGCCUCACUUUGGUUAUCACCCACCAUUUUGACCCGAUUUUAGGGAAGUUUUGUUGUCCUUUCUCCUACUUUUGAUAUUUAUUUGCUACAUUGAGGGCAACGUAUCGUUUAGGUGUGAGGGGAGAUCAGUUGUGGUUCUAGUUUUUAGUAGUUUUUUAGUUUUUAGAUAUUUUUCCUUUAUUUCUAAUUUGUUAUUUGUCUAUCUUUCGUUUAGUCUCUUUCUUUCUUUUUAGUGAUUAGCUCUCAUGUGAAUGCUAAAAUUUAUGUUGGAUUGUUGACUCUAAUUGUACUAUUGCCAAGUUUUAAUAAUAAAAGUGUAUCUAGUUAAUGUGGUUGAACUCGAGAACAUCUAUUUGGUGAAUAUCGGUGAUUAUUUGACUCUUUUAAUUUUUUGUUAACUUUUCUAGGCAUUAAGAAUGAUUGUUGGCAUUUUCAUGUGAAUUGGUCCAGUGAUUAACUUUAGUUCUCUAUGUUUGGAAAAAAAUAAGGCUAGCUACUUUUUCUUUGUGAUAUUGUGAGAUAUUGUAUUAUCUGGUUGACAAAUAAAGUUGACUGUACUUCGCUAUUAGUUACUACUGAGUAACCGGGGAUCUUCACCUAGAAGUGUCGAUUCUCGCAUCAAAAAAUAGUAAUUUCUAUGAGUACGUGGUCGUAUAGCGAUAGGAGUUGAGUAACCGAACUCUUUCAUCUGGCAAAUGUUGGAGUUCGCGUCAAAAGACUCCAAUGGCUAGAGACUAAGUCUUUUGUGCUAUCUUGAAAAAAAAAAGAAAAAAAAGAAAAAAAGAAAAAAAUAAAUAAUAAAAAACGUGAAAAAAGUGUAAGUUAUGUUAGUGUAUGAUAGAAGUCAGCUUGCCGAUUUAUUGAUUUAAUGUGGAGAUUUUGGUUAAUAUUUGGAUCAUUUGCUGAUAAAUGUUGUGCGCCAUUCCUUUUUCUUAGAUUAGUUAACUUGGAAUUGAAAGAGUUUAUGGUUUAGAAGUUAAUCGGGGUAAUGUUUCUCAGAUUUUGAUCACUAAUACUUGAUAUAUGGCUUUCUCUUGAUAUCUUGGCAAUAUGGUAGAUAGAGCAAUAGUCAUUAACAAAUAUUGGUGUUUGCUUACUAUUUUUAUACUUGAGAACAAGCAUGAUUUAAGUGUGGGGGGAAUUGAUAGAUUGCAAUUUUAUCAUUUAUUUUACUAUUAAUUUCUCCUAUUACCUGACCCGAUGUGGAUUAAUUAUUAAAUUCUACUCACUUUUGAUAUUUUGCAUUUAUUUCAGAGAGUAGAACAAAAAUAUGAUAACAAGUGCCAAUUUGAUAGAAAAGGAAUCCAAAUAAUAGAGCUUAUUCCAGGGGCAUUUUUGGAAAAGGAACACUUAUUCGCAUUUUGAUAAUUACUGCAAAAGAAAAAAGACGGCUAGAGGGCUUCUUCUUCCUGGUGGGAGCCACCGCACAGGAGUUGCUUAGUUAGUAAUUGAAUAGAAUAGGAAUAGAUAGCAGAGAACAAGCACUAUCUUUGGCUUUUGACUUUUCUUCGUUUCUUUAGUUCUUAGUAGUUUUUUAUCUUCUUGGUACGUAGGACUUUUAGUUUAGCUUUUCUUUUGACUCUUCUUUUGAGUCUUGGGCGGAUUUCUCCUGCGCAUGUCAGGAGCAAUUGGAGGAUUCAAUCACUUUCUGUAUUCGUUUACCAAUUGAAUGAAUUAAACUCCCUUGAUCAAGGACAAUGGCCGCGACUUUCUCUUCAAUUUUGUAUCUCACUCUAGUCAAGGGAUAACGGAGGCUCUAGUUCGCCUAAAAAUUAUGAGAUCGAUUUAAUUUUAUCUUUUUCUUUUAUUUAUUGGUAUUCACAUAUUCCUUGAUUGCAGUACUUAUGAUUAUUUAAUUAAUUGAUUGUCUUGGAUCCGGAUAAUUAGUUAAUUUGGCAAUCUAUUGUCAAUUAGGGCAUUAAAUCCGUAAUUGUUUAAUUGCCUUGAAUUAGUGACAGUUGACAUGAUUAGGUUUGUGUCAGGGGGAUACGCGGACUAAUUUGAAAUAACCCUGGUAGUGCGUUAUUUGGUUAGAAUAGGGAUUCUCUAAUACGUAAGGCAAUUGGGGAGUUAAAUCUUAUGGGCGUUCUCAGGAUUAUUUCUCAAUUAGAACAGUGAUUAACGAGCGUACCAUAAUCACCGACGCAGUAAGGAGGGGUUGACUGUCAUCACUUGUUUGACAGUUAUAACCAAUUUAUUAAUAAAUAAUUGGAAAUGCUUGUGCAUCGAUGAUCAAUUAGAUGAACCAUUGCUAAAGUUAUUUCUUGGCUAAAUCUUUAAUUAUUAUUAUCUUGAUUUUAGUGAAUUGUCAUUUGAUUUUUAGUUGCCUAUUUUAUUUUAUUUUAUUUUUAAUUGUUUCCUUGUUUUAAUUGUUUUAGACCGUUAAUUAUUGUUACUCUGAGUUUAGUGAAUUGUCAAUUAAUUUCUAGUUAGUUAUUCAUUUUUAUUUUUUUAUUUGAAUUUCUUUAAUUGUCGUCGUUUAUUCAAAAUCAACCCCUAUGUUACUUUGGAUUUCUUAAGAGACAAAUACCCUCAAUCCCUGAGGAUACGACAUUACUUGGCCUGUCUACAAAUUCAUAACUAUUUGUGAAAAAAAGGCAUCUCAUUCUGAUAUAUCGGAUCAAGCAAACUCUUCGGGAACAGGGUGAAUCAAGUAACCCAUUGCACACUUAAAGUCCCUGUUCUAGUAUUUGAAAUCAGGUAUUGGCUAUUUUAGCUGGCAAUUUGGUUUAUUUUUAUUACUGUACAGGUUUCGACAACCUGUCACUAUCUCAAUAAGUGUGGAGUUUUUUCACCCCAAUCUCGAAUGUGGCAUGACCCUUAUUCAAAUAGGUAUGAUCAAAGAUUGUUGGAGAACUCCAACUUUAAUUAUGCACCGGACCCAAUCGAUUUUCAACAUCAAUGUCAACAGCAACAGCCAUCAUCAAUGUCAGAAUUGCUCUCAUAGACUAACAUCGACCUUGAAGAAGAUGAUAGUGCAAUUAUCCGGACCAAUGACAUGGAACUAUAAGAGUUUCAAUAAAAUGGAUCUAAAGAUGCAGUUGAAAAGGAAGUUGAAGUGCAAGAAAUGAAACUCCAAUAUCAACUCGUUUAAGUGAAUGAAUCCUGUGAACAAUCUCCAAAUGCGGUGACAUUUUCUCCAUUCCUUAAUCAAUAUUCUCCUGACUCUUAUUCUUCAAUUUCUGUUAGUGAGAUUGACUUCAUUAUACCAGAAAAUUUUGAAUUUCAUGACAAGAAUAAGUUAAGAGUAGCGAUGACAAAAUAUCUUGGACCAAUAAAUGCGCGUGAUAGACGAGUGAGUGGAGAAUUCAUAUUAUUGUUGACUUGUUUGGUGCCAUCUACUAGUUCAUGGAAGACCGUAACUCGUGUACUCAAGAAUUACUCUAUUUACGAGGGCUAUCAGGAUUAUAUAGAGAAUGAAGUACUGAAACGAGCAACAAAAUUUUAUCCUCCCUGAAAAAUAUGACAAUGUCUAGCCAAAAAAGUUAAAAAAAGGCGGUUUUUGAGAGGCAACACAAAUAUUGGUGUUUAUUUUUUUCGUUGGUCAUUGCUUUAAAUUUGUCAUUUCUCACUUGGGUACCAGUCGAUCUUGAUAUUUUCCUCUACUAUGACCAACACAGGUAAUCUUGGCAUGUCCACGCAAGGAGGUCACGCGUUAAUCUUGCAAGCCUCAAUCUCAUAGUCAGGAGACUUUUGCAAAACAUGGCGUGUCCAUGCCAUAUUGGUAAAACCUCAACUGUUCGCAACGCAGGCAGAUCAAGGAAUUUGGCAAGCCCACGCAAGGAGGGCACGCGUUAAUUUGCAAAAAAGUCACCCUAGGAUCAGAUUACUUUUUCAAAUCUUAGCGUGCCCAUGCAAGGAGGGCACACUUUAAAUUGCGAAAAGCGACUCCCAAGGUCAUAUUACUUUUCCCUAUCUUGGCGUGCCCACGCUUAACGUAGUGGUUCUAAAAAAAAAAUUCUUUUCUUUUCUCUUUCUUUUCCUUUUCUUUUUCCAUUUUCUUUCUCUUUUCUUUUUUUUCUUCUUUCUUUCUUCCAUCCUUCUCCAUUCGAACUCCACCACUGCCAACCAUCAACUUACGUCGAGCUCCACAAUCAUUUGCCCCUCACCCGUAGCUGUCCACGGCCUCGACAGUUAUCAGGGAAGUUUUGUUGUCUCUUUUGUUUCGUAUUCUAUUCUUUAUCUCUUACAUUAGAGAUAAUGUAAGAUUUAGGUGUGGGAGGAGUAGUAUAUUAAUAAUAUAUUGGAAAAGUGCAAGUAUAGGCAUUUUUGUUGGAAUUUUUUGUUUGACUUUGUCGAAUUUUAUCCAAUUUUUGCCUAUCUUUACAUAUACUUGUGAGUAUUCCUGAUAAACGAUGGUUAGAUGUCUCAAAAUUUUCUAUUACUAAGAUUUUAUACGCUAAGAUGUUAAGUAUGACAUGGUUAAGUUUAAGGGUAUCUCUUUGGUGAAUAUUUGAGAUUUUGUGACUUUUGCACUUUUUGGUUAACUUCUCUAAGUAUUGUAAAUAUUUGUCUAGCAUUUUUAUGCAAAUUGGUUCAACUAUUAAUCUUAGUUCUCCAUAUUUAAGAAAUGAAGUGGGCUUGUGUGAUCUUUAAUUUUAUUUUUGAUGCUUAUUUGAAUCAUGUUUGGCUAUACUCCGCCAGUAUCGUUGCCUAGUAAUUGGAGGUCUUCGCCAUAAUUAUUGAUUUUCGCAUCAAAAAGCGACGAUAGAUAUGAGUAUGUGGUUUUUAAAUAAUGAUGGCUGAGUAACCGGGCUCCUUCAUUUGGCCAAUGUCGGAGUCCGCGUCAAAACGCUUAAAUGGCUAAAUGCUAAGCAUUUCCCCUGAAAAAAAAAUCAAUCGAGUGUGGCGAUAUUUUAGAAAAAAAAAUGUGUUAAUAGUGAAAAAUGUGGAAGUGUUUGAAUGAAUUGUUAGCCUGCUGAUUCAUGAAUUUUAAUGUUGAGAUUUUGCUUAAUAGUCAAACCAUUUGCUUACGAAUGUUAGUUGAAUAUUUUAUAUUCUUAGAUUAGUAAGUCGAAAAUUGGAAAAGUCUUUGAUUUUGAAAGAUAACCGGAGAAAUAUUUCUUGAAACUUAAUCACUAAUGCUUGACAUAUGGUUUAAUUGUAUCUUGGCAAUAGAUGAUUUGAGCAAUAGCCAUUGUUUGAAUUUGAUUGUUUGAUUUAUUGUUCUCAUGCUUGAGAACAAGCACGGUUUAAGUGUGGGGGGAAUUGAUAGGGCAUAAUUUGUUAUUAAUUUUAUGGUUAAUUUUCCUCUUUGUCCUUGCCAAAUAUUGUUUUAAUUGUUGAAAUAUACUUAUAUUUGGUAUUUGAAUCUAAUUACAGGAAGUGGAGCAGAAAAAUACUAAAAAGGGUGAUUUUCUUGAGAAAAUACCGUGCACGUGGGAAGCCUUGAGAAUCCUUACAAAUCCGGCUCCAAGAUGUGCUAAACCAAUGUCUUUCCUUUCGUGACUAGUAGUUUACUAGCAUUAGGAAACAAGAAAGAAGGAAACUUUAGUAGUUGCCUUAUCUCUUUGUUUUCCUUAUUCGGUGGAAAAACCAACGAGAUGAGGGACUAGUCAUUGUUUAGAUUAGGGAGAUUCUUCUAUUAUUCAUGUGAAGCCCCGAAAGACGAAGAAAGAAAAAUUUCUGGUUGAAAAUGUUUUUGGAUAAUCCGGCCGGAAAUCUGGCCAGUUCUUGGCCAGAUACUUGGCCAGAUUGGCCUGGAGUUUUGAAAAAUUUUUUAUUUCCCACUGCCUUGAAUUCGGCCGGAUAUCCGACCAGAUUCUAUCGCGGACAGUUUUCUUAAUAAUUAAGUUUCAUCUUUUGACUUCAUUUGGGGUUUUAAAACCCACUUUUCUUUCUCCUCCAAGCUGACCGAACCUCUUGGGAGCAAAACUAAUAGAGAAAACCUCAUUUCUUUUCCUUUGAUUCCUUCACUAAAUUUUGAGGGGUUUCUUCCAAUUUCCGAUAUCUACUCCGAUUAACUUCACAUCGAAGGUGAUAGCAAGGUAAGGGUGGAAAGUUUUGAGAGGACAAGGGUUUGCUUUGCCUGUUUCAAGGUGAUUGGAAGGCAUAAUCCUUAGAAGCUUCUUUUGUUCUUUAAUCUUGUGAUUAACUUAUUGAUCUUGAUGAUUUAUGGAGAUUAUUGUGAAUUGGAAGUUGGGAUGAUGAUAUUCACUAAUUUUUAGACUUUAUCUAAGUAUUUCAUCUUUGAUUUUGACAUGUAUGUGAUCAGUAGAAGUUAUUCUAGUGUUAAGGUGGAAUUUCUAGCCUUAAUUGGUAUUAGUGAUGGUUAUAUGCUACUUUGUGGAGGAUUUCAUGAUUUGAAGUAGAGUUUGAUAUAUUUCAGAAUUUUUGGUGAAUUUUGUCUUUAUUUGAUGCUUAAACAUAUGCCAUGGAUUGAUGGCUUAGUGGUGUGUGAAAUGAAACUUGUAUAUGCUAGAUGUGAUUUCCUAAAGAAAAUUUCCGCUUGUGGGGUUAAUUUCAGUUUAGAGUUUCAAAUCUACGCUGUUUUUGCACUAUAUGUUCGACUAUGUUAAAGGCUGAAUCAGCCCUUGGCCAAAACAUGAAAGUUGUAGAGAUUUGAGUUAGCUACCUACCUGCAAAAAUUUCAGAUCGAUUGGAGUACUGUAACCUAUGAAAUACCUGAAAUACCCGUGACUGCCCUUAAGCCCUAUUUCAUGGACAGUUUCCUUUUUUUUUUCUCUAAGAUUUUGCUUUUUGACCAUGAAAAUGUAUAAUUUGGCUUUGGAGGUUUUCAUAAGAAAUGUUGGUAUAUGUCUUAGCUUCGUAACGCCAUAAGAUUCGUUUCAAUCGGAGAAGUGUAGCUUCAAUGGUGAUUAAAAUGCCCAAAGGUAAUAGGAACUUGAUGCUUUUAGAAUUCCCUUUGCUUGACAUGAUAUUUGUAAUCUAGAGCUUGGACUUGAUCAAGGCAAUGAUCUAUGAUGGAUGGUUCAUGAGUUGUGGUUGGUGAGUGGUUUCAUAACUAUUUGCAAAGUUACUUUUCGAACUAAUUCUUGUAUUGGUUACUCGAUUGCAUAUCAUUUGUAUUUGUGUGUGUGCCAUGACAUAAUUUGGCUCCAAUGAGUGCUUGAAAAAUCAUGUGCUUAGAACCAACGUCUCCACCACUGGUUAUUUGGAGCACCAAUGGCUCCCUAUUACUAUUUGAUUGUUAAUUGAUUUGUUUGAGCGUUGGAGUUCUAAGUACGAGGAUUUUACUGGCUCAUAAGGGCAAUAAACUUUCAUUUGAUCACUGAAUCAUGCCAUCAUCUAUAUGCAUUACUAUGAAACGUACUUGAUUCUUGAUUUCACUGGUCGCUCGCUGAGCUUCUAGCUCACCCCAAAAUAUAUUUUCUCCCCACAGGGCUCGAGGCAAAGGAAGCGCGUGUAAUGAGUUAUUAGUAUGACUGGAUGGUUUAUCUCCUGUUUGGUUGAAAUUUGAAAUUCAUCUUGUGUAAUAGUUAGGAUUGUAUGAAGGUUUGGAAUUGAACGAAUGUAUGUGUACGUUCCACGCUUAGGAACUAGUAUUCGCUUCGCUUAUGAUAUGUAAUUCAUGGAGAAUUUGAUGUAUAUUUGAGAUUUGCAUUGUAUUAUUUUUGAAAACUGUAGUGAGUGAGUGAGUCCCGGCGAGAGCUGGGCAGGCGGUCUGCCGAACCUUUUGGUUUGCCUUAGGGGAAGGUGGAGCUGUCACAAUUCGUCUUCGUCCCGAGGCCGCAAGACAGGAGAUAAUUCCUUCUUCAUGCCUUUACUCUUCUUGCAUGAAACAUAUUAGAUUGUUUUAAGAACAAAGUUUGAUAUUCAUGAAUUCUACUAAUUCACGUGGAAAUUUCUUUAUGAGGCGUGGCUAAAUUCCUCAUUUAGUCGAAGGUCAACUUGAAGACUCAGUUCCAAACAUCUGUGAGAUCGAAUUAUUUUACUUAUUUCUUUUAUUCAUUGGUAUUUGUACGUUUUCUAGUUUAACUUCUUAUAAUUGUUUUGUUAUUUGAAUGUCAAGAGCCCGAUAUUCAAAUUAACCUAAUAAUCUUCUGCCAAAUUAAUUGAUUUAAUCCGUAAUUGUUCAAUUGAUUAAUACCAGUAGCGACUAACGUGAUUGGUUCCAUGUUAGGAAAACGCAUGAUCUAAUUUAAACAAACCCUCUAGCAUGUUUGUUAGUUAGGGUUGGGCUUUUCUAAUUCUUAAUGCAAUCUAGAAAUUAAAUCCUACAGUCGUGCCUAGGGUUAUUUUUUUAUUAGAGAAAUAGUUAACGGUUGUACCUUGACUAUCGAAAAAGUAAGGAAAGACUGGUUGUUUAUCGCGUGUAUGAUAAUUAUAAUCAAUCUAUUAAUGAGUAAUUGAAUUAUCUUUGCAUCGAUAAUUAGUUGAAUAAACCGUGUUUAAAAAUUUGCACCUUUGGCCAGAGUCGUAUUGGUUAUUGAUUAAUUCUUGUAUAUUUCUAUUAGUUGUUUCAUUAGUUAGUUUACAUUCUCCAAAAAUCCCCCAUACUUAUCCCCAGUGCCUAUGGAUUCGACCCUACUCACCGCUAUAUAUAAAAUUUGUAUUUUUCUUAAGAAGGUAAUUAUUAUUACACAGGCUCGACACCUGUCAUCUUUUCUCCUUAGAGUUGUCUAGUGAGAGUUUUCUUCUCUCCUAAAUUUUUUAGUGGAAUUUUAUUCUCUCCUAAGCAUUCCUAGUAAGAGUUUUUGAUAAUUUUUUCAUUUUUCUUUUAUUACAUUUGAGUUUUUCGGAUUUUGAUUAUUAGAUCUGAAAUUUCUAAGAUCUAUUUAGUAGAUCUCACUAUAAUAGAUGGACUUGAAGCCGUUAAUCAGUAGAUUUGACGAUUACAACCAUGCAUAGAUAUCCAUGGAGCUACAAUUAUUUUAUCUUAUUUUUUAAAUUUGAAGCUUUAUAAUGUAAUUUUUAUUGUUCUUCAUAUCUGUAGUAUCCUUUCUUUAGAUCUAUUAUUUUAUAUUUGUAUAUAUUUGAUGAUAUAAUUUCUACCAUUAGUGUAAAUUUUAAUGAAAAUAUGAUAUUUUAUUAAAAAAAUCAUCUUUGAUCAAAACACAAACGGAAAUUCUUGGCAGGUCAUUAUUUUUCUCAAUCUCACAAAAAGUGAAAAAGAAAGCUUCUUAAGCCUUAGUGGACUUACUAGCAUAUGUACAAUAGGUUAAUGUUUUGAAUUAUUCAUAUUGUUGUUCUAAAUAUAUUUUUCUCUUUUUAUUUGGUUUGGAAGCUAGUGGAUGGAGGGCGGCGGGGUAAUUAAUUUCUCAUUGGCAUUUCAGCUUAUUUUUUUGCUUGACCUUUCGUCGUCAUGUAUUCAGCCAUUUCUGGAUCUUUAUACUUCCCUAAACAGAAAUCUGAAAUGUUAACUUUAAAAAUUAUCACAUCAACAUAUUCUUUUAUUCUAUCUUUCUCAGUAGAUAAUUUUAUAGAAAAAUCAACUUUGCCUACUAAAAAAUCUCACCUAUCUGAUGCAUUAGCGUUCAAAUUUAGAUAGAUGUGAAAACGUUAAAUUAAAUGGUAUCAUUGAAUUGCUUCAAUCAAAACCAUCUGGCAAAGUGCAUCAGUGGCCAUUAAAUUUUCAUGAAUGUCUCUUUUCGGCCAUCCAAUUUUAUUUUUUUUUCAUUCAAGAAAUUUCAGUAACUAGUAGUACAGUUUGGCUAAAAUUUUAGCAUUGUACAUAUGUUAAUUCAUGUCAAAAACAGUUUUUAUCCUAAAACUGCAUGGUUAAAGAAUUACAAGACUAAAGAUAGAACACUUGAUUUAAAUUCCCCGUUUUGUGUGUGUUGUGCAUGGUUGGUCAAAUAUACCUUAGAGGAAGAGGCAGCUUAGGGAAUAAAUGAGGUUUUCUUAAAUCUUCUGGUUGAGUGAUCAUGUAUAACACGUCAGCCCAGUCAAGCUUUUGCUCCUCUAAUUUGACAAAGGCCUGCCCAUAUCCUUCUACAUCUCCUGGUUCUUGACCAUAUUUGUUCUUUUCAACCAUCGGCAAAUUGAAAAAAUUUUGAACUUCUGAUUUCAAUUUCUCCACCAAUGAAGAGCUAACUCCAUGAUUAAUCAGCUGCUGACAGUUACUCAUAAGUAAUAGCGUCUGGAUGGAACAGCAUAUAAGCAUAUGUAUACUUUCAACUGAUUUGCACUCGUAAAAUUUAGGUAAAAGAUGAUUAAGUCAUCAACGGAUUCAUUUUUCAUAGGACUUUGAUUUCAUUUGAAGACGGUUUCUUUUUUUUUGAUACAAAAAAAAAAGUGGGAUGGUCUCAAACCUUGAAAAAGGUAACCAUAGAGUUUUGGUCUAGUGGCCACCAAGGGGAAUUUAAAGUUCCUUUCUAGGAUGUUAGUUCGGGUUCAAACCUUACACAAAAUCGACGGUUCAAACAUCGAAAUAACAACACUUGACAAUUUAGUUUUAAACAAAUGGGGAGCUGAAAGGCUCAUUCAGAGGUUUAGGUUGAAAAAUGUACAUCUCCUCACACACACACACACACACACACACACACAUAUAUAUAUAUAUAUAUAUAUAUGUAUGUAUGUGAAUAUGGAUUGUGUUGCACAUGAUUCAUCAAAGGAAUAAGCUAUAACAAAAAUACUGACCUUGUCAUAAAACAAAUCAGAAAAUUUACUUUAUAUAUAUAUAUAUAAACACACAACUUUUCUGAUUUGUUUUAUGAGAAGGCUAGUGUUUUUGUCAUAGCUAACUCCUUUCACGAAUCAGGCUAGUGUUUUUGUCAUAGGUUGACGGGUUGGCGGGUCGACCCGAAAUGACCCGAAACUUAAUUUUAAUUUAUUAAUUUAUCACUGUAAUUUCUAAUAAAAUCAAUUUUUCACAAAAUUAAUUACAUCGUCAAGUAAUAAAAAUUUAAAUAAAUAAUUUCAAACCAAAUCUAAAAUAAAUUAAACACCAUAAAAGUGUUUUAUCCCAAACCAAAUAUAAAAUAAAAUAAAACAGCAUAAAAGUAAAAAAUAACAUAAUAUAUUAUUUGUCCAAAUAUAAUAAUUUUAACUUCACACAAGUUAAAUAAAUUCAUUUAGGAUUAAGUAAUUAAUGCCUUUGGAAAAAAAAUGAUUUAGUUUAGUUAGAUAAAAUAAUUUUUAUGUUUAUUAAAUUAGUUUUAAUUCAUAAACGGGUCACAUCGGGUCAUAUCAGGUCACCACGGGUUGACCCGAAAUUGACCUGUUUUCUUUUCGGGUUCAUCGGGUUCGACCCGAACUCUCGAAACCUCAACCCAAACCCAUUAAUUUCGUGUUAGGUUCGUGUCGUGUUUUCAGGUCGUGUCGAAAAUUGCCACCCCUAGUUUCAAAUGAACCAUCCUAGGUUUGGGCUCAACCUCUUAUUAGACACAUUGUUGAGAAUGGGACUAACACCAAUUUCUGGUUUGAUGCAUGGCAUCCCCUUGGGCCAUUGUAUAGACACUUAACAGGCAACUUACUUUACAGUUUUGGAUGCAAACCAAAUGUUUCUGUAUCAGAAAUUAUAGUGGAUGGUAGGCAGGAAAGAAACAGCUGUAGUGAGGAGGCUAAAGGAAGUUACACUUGCGUGUUUUGAGCCUUUGGUGGGGUUGAGGAUCAGAUUAUCUGGUGUAUUCCAUACAAAAGCUGCCAUAAAGCUUCUUAGUGUCCCAAGAGAGAAGAUGACUUGGGCAAAACUAGUUUGGGGAAAAGGAUUUGUGCCGAGAUCUGCAUUUAUUUUAUGGUUGCUAUGUAAGAAAAGAUUCCCUACAUUGGAAUGGGGAGUGGACUGGAAAUGCUUGAUAGAUUAGUUGUUUUGAAUACUGUAACUAUAGUAGUAUGAUGAGGGAUGAUUGCCCAUGUGUACAAGCUUGAACACAAUAAUCAAAUAAAAUCCUUAUUAUUUGCUCAAACAAAAAAAAAAAAAAGUUUGGCCGUUAGGUAGCAUCAGAUUGGAAAGGGCUCUCAUUUCUUGGGAAAUGACUCGGAGGAAACCAACUAGUAUUUUAUUGUGUGCAAAGAAAUGAAGCCAUUAGACUGGAAAAUUGAACUAAUAUGUCUUUGGAUAAUUAACAGAGGAAAAAGAAACUAAAAGAGAAAAAACGAAUAGGCAAACAAGAUCUUGCUUAGAGAGACUCCAACAAAUUGAUAAUUAUUUUUUAUGACAGUGAUUAGUUAUUUUAUCCAACAAAGAUCAGAUAACCACCAAACAACAGUUUUUUUAAGGAGCAUAUACAUAACCACAUCUUUCAUUCACACCUACAACAUAGUAGACAUUAUCUUCGCUUAAAUUCGCAUGGUAUCGAUAUAUGAUUUCCCAUCUAAUUCACGAGAAUAUAGACUUUUCAAAUAGUCCACCAUGAGGACUCUGCUAAACUUUGCUGGAUUUUCAGGGGUGAUGAGACUUGGUGCUGGACCUAGAUCACCAUCCAAUUUUGGGAAAGUAAACGUAGCAAUAGAAAGUCUUUCCUUUUGUGAGUUUACAAUUGCUCGAUGCUCCACACUCUUGUAAGCUCCAUUGGUUAUAAUCUGCCAAGUUGACGACACAAAAUAAUCAAGAAUUGCUUUCAUACCAAAGCAAAAGGUUUGUAAGUCUAACUAUUAUUGUAAAUAAGCUAGACAGAUUACCUGUUGUUCAAUAGUUUAGUAUCCAUACUUCGUAUAAGACAUUAUGCACUUGUUUGUAACUUUCAAAAGAUUUUCAUGUAGGAAUUUUUUGUUUUGAGGAAAAAGGGAUAAUUGUAAACUAAUUUCCGAAUGUCAAUAGCGAAUGGAUAGGUACUUAACUGGCAUCAAUAGUUCAAGUCAAUUACAAGUACUAAUUCUACACAAAAAGGCCUUUUUUUUUUUUUUUUUCUACACACAAAGGCUACAAUCUUUAGAAACAUAACAAUUCUUUUGCGUUUGCUAAAAGUUGUCCCUUCCCACUCUCAUGCCUUAUACAAAGCAAUAGUAUAUACCAAUCUCUCUCUUUGCGUACUCAAUACUCAUGCGAACAUGUUUAUGUGCAUGUGUACGUGCCAGCAGGCAUAAAAGGGUAAAAGAGAGAGGCUAGUGUGUUUAUAAAUAAAUGUGUGUGUAUGUGUGAAUGCAUAAAAGGGUAAAAUUCAAUAUUUUGCUCCAAAGUCCACACAAGACCAACUAAUACAUUUUCUCCUCACUAAUUCAAUUGGAUCAAUAACUAUAGGAAACCUUCAAUUGUUUUUAACGCCAUGUAAUCCCACAAAUAGAUGCCAUCAUGUGGAUGUCAACACAUGAAAAACUAUGUUUUUAGACUUGGACUGAGUAUCAACUCGGUCAAAUUCAGGAGUCAGGGGUUAAUGGGUUCGAUCGGGGUUAAAUCAGAUAACGUCAUAAAUAAAAAUUAUUUAAAUAUUUAAAUAUUGUAUGUAAAUAACUUAAGCAUAUGUUAAUAUUAAUAAAUGUAUAUUCAUAUAUAUUUGAUGUUUCAAAUAUAUUUAACAAGAGAAGACAAAGAAAUUAGAAUGAUCAAGUAGCAAUUAUAUUAUUUAAUGAACAUUAACAAGUUUAGAAUUAAAACAUCCCCAAAUUACGUUGAUUUGGUAGACCCAUUGAUAAUUACCUCCUCCUUAGUCACAUUAAAAAAAAAAAAGCAAGUUUUAUCGCUUCGAAAUUUUAAAAUUGACUUAUGAUUAAGGGUCUAUCAGCUACUGUCUUCGAAAAUGGUUCAUCACCUGCACUUCAUGAUGUUAUCCAAAUUUUAGAUUAUCCUUAAAUAUUUAUUGAAAUUAUACUGGCCUUGCUACGUAGACGGAAGCAUAACAAUUACUUUGAUUAAAAAAAAACUGUAUAUAUAUACAACUUUUUAUCAUUAAAUUUUAUAAAUUUUUUUGGAGGCAAAAGUUAACAUUUAUGCUUUCAAAACUUUAAUGAGGAAAAACUAAAAUUUCUAAGCUUUAGAGAGUCGGUAACUAGAGGAAUGGCAAUGAGGAGGAUAUGAGGCUUGUAACAGCCCCACUUUCUCCUAAGGCGAACCAAAGGGGUUAGCGGACUGCCUGCCCAACUCUCGCCAGGACUAACGAGGCAGACUAGAACUAUCUAUAGCGAUCCGAAACUUACAAACGAGCGUAAACAGGUCAAAAUGGUAAAAUAACCCAAAAUAAAAAAAAUGAAAUCCGGAGUCGGUCAUGAAUAGUAACCGACCGUCAAAACCCAACCGAAAGAGCACGCAAACAUUCACAUCUGAACUUUAGCGAUUACAAUCCAAAAGGAUAUUCACAAGUUUUCAAAAGUUAAUACAUAUACACGGUUUGCCAAAUCAAAAGAGAAAACGCCCCAAAAGUACACUUAGGGUUUUAAUACAUGAGCUAUACAAAAGAUAUGUUCAACUAGCUCAAUUUGGCAGCCAUUUGCCAAAUCCAGACCAAAAGGGCAAAAUUUUCCUGUAAGGAAAACAAAAGGAACAGAAAGGGGUGAGUUUGCGCUCAAUGAGGUACCAAACAGAUAGCAUUAAAAUCAUGGCAUUUCACAUUUAACAAAUCUGACACACAUGUCAGACGUAAAGCAAAGGAACCAAUGAUUCAAAUCAGAAGGAUACGGGUGGCUCUCAGGAGCCAAAUUUCCAGCGCAGUACUUGAUCCAAACCGGUUGACUCUCCGUCAACGUAUAUAGAACCAACGCGUCCGUAGACCCCUCUUAUCACCGAAUUCCGUCCACCAAACACCCCUUUACCGAGCCCGCUCACCUCAAACGAACAAAAUGGUAAUACUCGAGUAUACCCGGAAUCAAGGGUCUCAAUACCCAAAAUCCCCGAACAGACUACCGUGGUUCGUUAUCUAAUCGUCCAGGCCCUUGCCGGCCCGACUCGAAUAACUUAGCCACAGGAUUGAGCUCAUAGGUCAUAGAAAUCCGAACAGAUGCAGACAUAGAUAACAGAUUCAAAUUUUGCAUAGUAAAUUGGCAUAUGAUCAGACUAGAGAACGAGUGUGAUAAAGUACACCCUCGUCUCGAACAAAUAAACAGAUUGCAGAGCAAAAAUCAAGUUAAACAGCAAUGAAGGGGAGUGGUACACUCACCGGCUCAACUUCAAAAGUUUUUACUUCAGAUUGGCCUUAAUCGCCAAGAAACCCUAAAAUAACCAAAAUAAAAUCAAUUGAAGGUUUCACAUCCAUAAUCGAGUAAACACAAUGCACAUGAGGCUCGACUACUAGUCGUAUGCCUUGCCAAAAUAAUACUAAUGCAAGGGUACAAAACAUGAUUUUCUUGGAAACGAAAAGGUAACAUGAAGACUUAGGCGCAAACAACCCAAAAGCCUUUCAUUUCCACCAAAAGGCAAAUUCAACUUGACGGAACCAAACGGCCUAGAAAAUCGGGCAGCACCUCCCCUAAAAUUCUUACUUUUCCAGCCAUUAAGGCUUCAUUAUUUCCUCAAAUCAGUCCCAACAUCUCACACAAAAUUCAUCUCAUUUACCAAAAGCCGUUCACUAGGCUCAAAAUAGUACAAGUACAAAAGUUAGCUAGGAAAUGACCGGAAUAAGAGUAAGUCUUAAAACAUGUAAGCAAGUACAAUGAGACUCGAUAACGAGUCAUAAAGCCAUGCCAACCACAACCCCAAUAAGGUUUCAUAUGCAUAUAUAAGCAUUAUAGCAAACCAGAAAUUAAGAAAUGGCAUUAGCUCAGGCCUUAACAAAAAAACAGUUUUCGUCAUACUUUUGCGGUAAUGACACAAAAUGCGCUACGCUUAUCGGAUGAGGGUGUAAGACCCACCAUCUCGAAGCUAAAAGACAGGGCUACAACAAUGUAAAAGGCCACUCAGUCCAAAUCCUAGCACAACUAGGUCAAAAAUGCAGAAUACCACAACCUGAACCGUAAUUGCAGGUUUACAAAUCACACAAUGCUGUAAUGAACACAACUCAGUCUAUACAAGUCCAAAUGCCGAAAUUCCAAAGGUAUAUGUUAGCUAAGACAUCCAGAUACAUUUCAUCAGAAGACACCAACAACAAAAUCCAAACCAAUUCCAGUCAAAAUGGCAGAUUAUGCACCUUUAAUCUACUUCCUUAAGCAGUAUUUCAGCAAUAAAACCAUCAUCAAACAUCAUCACAGCCAUCAACCCAAAGUGGGAGUUCAUAGAGCCCACAUUUAACAAUUUCCAACGAUAAUAAGUUACCCAUAAGCAUAAUCAAGCUCUUAAGUGUAAGUUGGCCUUUAUUGAACAAGAUCUGAAGAGUGGAUCAUGGUUACCUUACUUGUGUGCUAAAAAGUCAGAUUUUGGUGCCCCUAAAACUCCAAGAAGAUCCGUGAAUGUGCAGCUCUUUCUUUGUCCAAGUGAUUGUCCAAGUUGUCUUGAGCUUGUGUGGUGAAUCUAUGAAGGUUUGGCAAGAUUUUUGAGGUGAAGUUUGUAGAGGAAAUGUUUGAGAAGUUUUCGGUUGUUUUUGUAGUGGCUAGCCGUCCAUGAAGCUUGCAAAAGUGAAAUGUUAGUCUGACUCCUUUUGCGUACAAAGAACGCUGACCGUCUAAUAUUUUAAGUACGUAAAAUUUAAUUGCAACUAGUGCCCUACGCGCGUGUUUUGUGUUCGAUUUCUCUUAAAUUUGUUGCACUAGUGCACUAAACCUCUAGGGCACUUACAUUCAUAUAAAUAUUAUUCAUUCUUAAUUGUCCCAAAAUAAUGGUCCAAAGUCCCUCAAUUAAGCGCGCACGUGAAAACACGUAUUUCUAAUUUAGGCGCAAUAAAAUGAAACCUUUGAGAAAUUUUUGUAACGAUCGUACCACUAACUAUCACUUGAGUACUUAAACCUAAAAUUGCCUAUUUUAGGACCAUUGUAUAUGUCUCAAAUUUUUGAGCUUAUUGUACUCCCAAUUGGCUAAAGUGUUUAGACACGUUUUCAUUUUUUCGCUAAUCAAGCUUUUAAGAAAAUAAUUUUUGAAAUGAGGCGCUUUAAAAAUAUAACGAAACUAUAAAACCAUGUACUUAGGUCUAAUAAGGCUAGAAAAUAUUAUUCGGAAUAAAUGGGCAAUUAAAUAUACAAAUGAGCUCGAAAAUAGGAAUUUAAAAUAAUGAAUUUCGCGAGUCCACAGGAGUCUAGUAUUAAUUCCUCAAUUAACCUUUCUUAAUCUAUUAUUGAUCAUUUUUAAUUCUCCAAUAUUAAUACACUCCUGAUUCAAGUAUAGCCUCGAAAACGUGUACUUGUUAUUUCGAACUAAACGAAUUUCUGAAAAGUGAAUUUUCCAACAAAAUGUUUUAAAAUUAUAAAGAGGCGUCAUUCCAUAUAAAUAAAUUUAAAAUGGUCGAAAUAAAUAAUUCGAAGAAAAUGAGUGAAUAAUCUUUUAAAUAUUCCAGUAAUAUUCUAUAAAAAUAAGAAAAUUUUCGGGUCCUCACACCCAGUAUAUAUGAGUAGGGUUUAGGUUUAAUUUAUUAACCCAGACCCUGACCAAAUCUAGAUCCCGUAAGAGAAUCAUGAAUUUGGGUGGAGUAUGGUUUUCUAUGAUUUAGAUCCAAAUUCAAAUCCAAAUUAGACCCUACCAAUACCCAUGUAAUAGUCUAUGUGUGUGUAUGUAUCAGUAAAUUCGGAAAAUAACCUAAUAUUCUAUGUCAUUAUAAUUAGUACAAACAUUUUGAAGAAAAAAGAAAAAUGAAAGCAAAUAAAUAAAAGAUUGAAUAUAGACACAGAUGAAACUUUGAAAACAAAUAGUUUUAGUUGAUAAUAAUUCUUUCUUUGAGUUCAUAAUAUUGUAUUCAACAUCAUGAAUGUUGAUUUUAUUAUUUGAAAAUAAAAAUUGGAUGAUAUUUAUGUUAUUUUUUAACUCUAUAUAUUUUCAAAAUAUAUUUACCUUGGUUCUUCAUUGUAUGUUCAAAAAAGUAUUCACGAAUACCCGUUGAAUACCUAAACCUAUGAGGGUUCGAAUUUGAGUUUACUUUUUCAAACCCAUAAAGGGUUGGAUAUGGUUUUGGGUCUAACUAAAUUUAAUAAGUAUGAAUGUAGAUCAAAGAGAUCUAAAUCAAACCCUAUCCAUUAAAAUACCUAUAAAAUACCUAUACUAUACAAUAUAAAUUAAACCUUGUCAAUCCCUUGGGCCCACAAAUUAUGUUGACUUGGUAAACCCCUGGAUAAUUACCUCCAUUUUUUAUAUAUAAAAUAUCAUAGUUUUAUUAAAAUUUACAUUAAUGAUAGAAAUUACAUCAUUAAACAUACACAGAUAUCAAAAAACAGGAUAAUAUGGUGAUCUCUAUCGAAUAUAUCCAAAAAAUUCCAAAUCUGAUAAUCAAAAUCUAAAAAAACUUAUCUUGGGCACAUGAAGAAAGCAAUUUUUGUCGUUCCAAACUUCAAAAUUGACUUUUAAUAGUCUAUUAGCUAUUGUCCUUGAAAAUGGUUCAUCACCUUCACUUCAUGAUGUUUAUCCAAAUUUUAGAUUAUCCUUAAAUGUUUUAUUGAAAUUAUACUGGUCUUGCUAUGUUACCUAUGUAGAAGGAAGCAUAACAAUUACUUUGAUCGAAAAACAGUUUAUACAAAUAACAUUUAAUUUUAUAAUAAUAUUUUAUAGAAUUUUUUUUGGAGGUAGAAGUUAACAUUUACUUCAAACCUUAUGUGAGGGAAAACUAAAAUUUCUAGAUUUUAAACAGUUGGUGACUAGGAAUGACAACGACAUGGAUUUGGAAUUAGAGAACCCUCUCCCGUCUCCCCUCCCGCGCUUUAAAAACUUCCUCUUGCCCUAAGCUAUCCCCCCUGCCCCCACCCCACUACCCAAUAUGGGUGCCCUAAUGGGUGGUUCAAAAUAAACUUCUAUUUUUCAUAUAUAAUAUCAACAAAUAAUUGUAUAAAUCAAUCUUUUGAACUUUUAACUAAAAUUCAACAUGAAAUUAAGUUUAAAAUAUACUUUAAUUUUUUAAAAAUAUUUCUCCGUAUUUAUUAGCAUAACUAAAGUAAUAUCUGCUACUAUUAUUAUCUUAUUGCAAACAUGCAAUACACCAAAAAAAAAAUUUCAGUAAACUAAAAAUAACAAAAUCAUCAUUUUACCACACAAAUCAUGAUAUCAUGAGUUUUCAAAUUAUAAUGUAUAUGUCUGUAUGUGUAUGUGUGUGUGUCUAUAUAUAUAUAGAGGUGGGGAUAGUACCGAUACAAAUCCCCACCACCCCUACUAUAUAUAAUAUGUACAUAGAUAUUGACAAAUAUAGUUACGUAUUAAUUAAUUUAUUUAAUUUAUAGGUGGGGAUAGUACUGAGACAAAUUCCCGCAACCGCUACUCCCACUCCGCAUUUCUCCCCACCCCAUUUCUAUGCCUACGGGGUGGGCAUACUUACCGAUCGUGACCCCUCUCCAUCUCUUAAUUCCCGUGCCAUUAGAAGGGCCAAUUUAGAAUGAAAGUGAAUAAAGUUGGCAUCUAUGCUGCCCUAUGGUUAGGUGACCUAUAGCAUUGAAUGGUUUCAUUUCUAGCUUUGAAUAAUGAAACCAUGAAGAUGAAGUCUCAAGGAUGAAUUGUCGUGCCUCUGUCAAUCACCUCGAUGAUGGAUCACGCGUAGGGGCAAGAGCGGUCAUCAGACCGAUCGCUCCUGAACGGUCUCCUCACAAUAGUUGGUAUAUAAUUGUCUAAUCAGCAAAUCUUUGGAAAUCAUUGAUGGUUGAGAUGUAAUCAAGUAACAAGGUUUAAAACUUUAAGAAUUGUUCUAUUUAGGACACACGAUAGAAAAUGGAUCUAUUUUCCACUUAUUUGAAGAAGAUUUUAUAAUUCAAAAAAUAAAUAAUAAUAAUUGAAAUUUAUAGCGAGUCCAUCCUUUCUAUUUUAUAUGCUUAUUCUGUGCUAUACUUUUAAGGACAUAAUAGAAAAACCCAAAAUUUGAAUUUAAUAGAAAAGUACUUAUGGAAUAGCAAUAUAUUCAAAGAUUUAUAAUUGUGCCUAAAAUAAGUACUAGAGGAAAAGGUAAAAUAGCAAAGAGUUUUUUUUUGGUUCCCCUUAUCAAGAUCUGGCAUAAAGAGUGACUUCUAAUACGUCGUUGAUAGCACAUAAAUCACUCAUCAUUCUCUUUCAUAUUUAAAAAUAGAUUAAUUUUCUAUACAUUAAUAAUGUAUACAGUAUUAAAUCUGAAUGCAUACUAUUUGUUUCAAAUUUGAAUUUUAAAUUUGAAUUAAUAUUAGUUGUCAUGCAUUUGAAUCUAAUAGCAUAUACAGUGUAUACAGGAUUAAUUCUUAAACAAUUAUACAUAUUGUGGUGAAUGAAAGUUGGGGGAGGCGAUGAAGAGGGGACACCAUAUCAACAGUGUACAUAAGUUUCAAAGAGAAAAAUCAUAGAGAGACUAAGAGCCUAAAAGUCUUCGAUUUGGGUCCUCAUUGUGUCAAUGAAUGAUUUCCCAUCUAGUUCACGGGGAAGAAACGCUUUUAAAUACUCAAUCAUACUAAUUCUUCUGAAAAUUGCUGGAUUUUCAGGGGUGAUAAGACUUGGCGCUGUACCCAUGUCACCAUCCAUUUUUGGGGAAAAGAACGUUGCAAUGGAAAGCCUUUCAUUGUGCAAAUUCACAGUUGCCCGAUGCUCAACACUCUUGUAAAUCCCAUUUGUCACAAUCUGCAUCUCAGUUAAAAAACGUCACAUUUUUCCCAACUGUGUACUAUGUAGCAUACAUUCUCAUAAAAGUUCAAUUAGGCUCAACAAUAGGAUAUGGUUAACAGGGUAAUCUUGUGAGUCCACCUAUAACUACUGUUAUGGCCCAAAAACAUUGGAGAGCAAUACCCUGAUAGAUCCAGGACAUGUUUUGUAAGUAACUCGUGUAAUUAGCAUUGAAAUCAAGACAAAAAGUUAAAUUUCCUUUCUGAAAAUCAAAACAAAUUUGUUGGGGAAAAGAGCAAGUACUUUUUUUAAAACGAUGAAAGGAAAGUAGUUUGAAUUUACCACUCGUACAUCACAGGUAAGCAAUAAUAUGGAGGGUGGGGUAUAAGGCAUGUACAAUACUAAUUUUGAAGUUAUUAUGCCAAGUUUUUCAAUAUAAGACCUUUUCAUCCAUAUAUUUUAUGCUUUUUUGACUUUAUAAGAUACGCGUUCUAUUAAGUAGUCAAUAUUCACCAAUAAACAACAUUCGUUUAACUCUGACAAAGUAGCCAAAGUUAGAAGUUUAGCCACAAAUUUGCAAAAGUUAAAUUUUGGGAUGAAAGCUACGCUUUGACCUUGCCUCAUUUGCUGGGCGGUGCAAGUUGAUAAUUAGUCUUACACAUCAACCUAGUGCAUACUAAUCAAAUCGGAAAGGUUAUCUCUUGAAUCCUAUUAAAAUAUGGGAAGACAUUCUAAUUUCCAUAUAUGUUCAUAAUUGUAGAAACUAAUUUGAAAAUAUCUCAUAAGGAGGCCAAAAACUAGAUAGAUGUUGUAAUUAUAUAAACAGAAAAGCAAUUUGAAGAGAUGUUCAUAUUCACAUUGCAUCUUGGGAGAAAGGAUUUUGAGCAUGAUUACCUCUAAAAUGUCUCCAACAUUGACUAUGAAUGCAUUAGGAAGUGGUACAACAGGAACCCAAGCUCCAGCCUUUUUGAUUUGGAGGCCUUCCACUUCAUUGAGCUGAAGCACUAUGGUAAGCCCACCAGCAUCAGAGUGGGGCAUGAUAGGUUGUAUUUUUGCCAUUAAUUCUAUGAUUAUUUUCCUCUUUAUUAUACCAAAUAUUAUUUUAAUUGAUUGAUUCUACUUAUAUUUGGUAUUUGGUACUAAUUGUAGGAAGGUGGAGUAAAAGAGAAUAAAAGAUGUGAUUUUUCAAGAAUUUCCAAUUCAAAAUGGAGUCUAUGUAGAUUAUUGACGGAGAAUUAGGAGGGAAGUAUUAUACUCCUAGUAGGUCUGCUUGGCUUGGCAUGUAUUCGUCUGGCUUUGAAUGGUUUGUAAGCAAUCAGGAGACAAGAAAGCCACAGUUGUUGACCUUGGAAAGUGGGGGACCAUUGCAAUUGUCUUCCAAUCUGCUUUGACCGAAAUUCAAGGGAGAAAAAGGGAAUCUCUCGUAUGUUUUGUGAAGACCUUGAGAGCCACUAUUGUUGACUAUUAUUAGGGACUUGGUUUUUGUUUUGACUGGCAGUGGUUUUCAAAAGCAAUUCCUUAGCUUUCGAAUUGAAGGGGCGGCAGAUGAGGAGUUUGGCCAGCAACAAAUUCGCAGGCACUUAGGUCUUUAAUUUUCCUCCGGAGCCGACUUUUUCAAGGAGAAAAACAUUAGAAAAGCUCGGCUAUUAUUUUUAUUCUUGGACAGCUGAUUUUCCAUUAAUGGAGAACUAGCUUCUCAAUUCUAGUCAAGGGAACAACUGAAGAUUUGGUUCAACAAUUAUUGUGAGAUCUAAUUUAUUUUAAUUGCUUCCUUCAUUUAUUGGUAUUCAUAUGUUUCCUGCUUUUAACUGUUAUAGUUCGUGUGGAUGAUUGAUUAGUGCGCAUAAUUAAUUAUUCAUAUAGGCUAUUUGCUAAAUAGGGGUAAUUAAAUCCGUAAUUGUCGUUAUCCCUAUCUCAGUAGCAAUUGGCGUAAUUGGGUUUAUGUCAGGGGAACAUACGAUCUAACUUAAACAAACCCUCGUAGCGUGUUUGUUAGUUAGGAUUGGGCCUUUCUAAUUAUUAAUGCAAUCUAGAAAUUAAAUCCUACGGUCGUACCUAGGAUUGUUUUUGGGUUAGAGAAAAUAGUUAACGGUCGUACCUUAACUAUCGGAAAUUAAGGAAAGGUUGGUUGUUUAUCGCGUGCAUGACAACUAUAACAAUCUAUUAAUAAAUGUGGAAUUAUCUGUGAAUCAAUGAUCAGUGGCUGAACCAUUUCUGAAGUGUACCUUGGCUAGAUUUUCCCUUAAUUAUUUUCUUAAUCAAUUAUUUUCUGCAGUUAAUUUAUUUAGUUAGCAUUUAAUCCAAAACCCAUACCUUGGACUCUAGAAGAAACGAAUUAUCCCCACUCCCUGUGGAUUCGACCCUACUCACCGCUAUAUACAAAAUCUGUAUUUCUCGAGUAGGUACUUAUUAUUGCACAGGUUCGGCACCUGUCAACUUUUGGCGCCGUUGCGGGGACUGGUGUCAGAUUAAUUUGUUUCUUUUAGUUAUCUUGUUUUUUUUAUUUUUCUCUUAAUUUUUAUAUAGUUUAUGGCUUCUAACACGCUAUAUUUUGGUGAUAUACUGGAUUUUGUUUCCGGGGAAGGCAAUGAGACUGAUUUUUUCUCUAAGUUGCAUAUUUAGAGGCACUAAACUCUAUUAGAGAAAGAAUGGCUGCUGUAACCUGUGAAAUUUGUUAUGCCAGGAUCAUUCGACCGUAUGUGCCCGAAUAUCAAGAUAAUCUGAGUUCCCACUCAAUAAUUAUGGAGAUUUUUCACCAUGGUCUCAAACGUGGUAUAACCCUAAUCCAAACGGGUAUGAUCAAGGAUGUUGGGAUAACUCCAGUUAUAAUUAUACAACAGGGCCAAUGAAUUUUCAGCAGUAUGAGUCUCAAGAAUCAUCAUCUAUGUCAGGUAUGUCUCUUGAAGAAAUAGUUGAAUUAAUAGCUACUAACACAUAUCAAAUUCAACAGGAGACACAUCAACUUCCACAGGAGAUAAUAGAUUUUCAUCAGGAGACACAAGUGAGCAGGCGUAACCUAGCAGAUCAAAUGGAUCAAUUGACAUUUAGGAUAACGCCAUUGGCUUCUCGAAUGAAUGAAGAAUUGCCCUCACAAACUAUUAUCGACCAUGAGGAAGAUGAGAGUGCAAUUAUCCUGACGAAUGACAUGGUACUGCAAGAGUCUCAAGAAAAAGAAUCUAAAGAUGCGGAUGAAAAGAAAGUUGAAGCACAAGAAUUGAGACCCCAACAUCAAAUGGUUCAAGUGAAUGAAUCCAGUGAACAAUCUCCAAAUGCGGUGACAUCUCCUCCAUUCCUUGAUCAAUAUUUUCCUGACUCUUAUUCUUUAAUUCCUAUUAGUGAGAUUGAUUUUAUUAUACUAGAAAAUUUUGAGUUUCAUGACAGGAACAAGUUAAGAGUCACGAUGGCAAAAUAUCUCAAACUAGUAAGUGCUUGUGAUGGAGGAGUGAAUGAAGAUUUAAGGUCAUUACUUGGUUGUUUGGCGCCAUCUACUAGUCCAUGGAAGACCGUAGCUUGUGUGCUAAAAAAUUACUCUAUUACGAGGCUAUCAGGAUUACAUAGAAGAUGAAACACUGAAGCGAGUUACGCGAUUUUAUCCUCCAUGAAUAAACAGGACAAUGUCUAGCCAAAGACAUUAAAGGAAGGCGUUGCUUGGGAGGCAACCCAAGGCUUUUGUUUUAAUUUUCUUAUGUUUUUGGAGUUUUUGUUAAGUGUUAGUUACAUUUAGUGAUUUGUUGCUUAGUGGCAGGAAAGUGGCAAUUAGACGUACCCAUGCCAGGUGGUCACGUUUGAGGGAAGAAAAUUUUCGUCCGCAAUCAGAAGACUCCGUAGCAGUUAGACGUGCCCACGCUAGGUGAUCACGCUAAAGGAUCAAAAAUUUUCAACGGAUGGUCAAAAGACUAGGGGCAGUUAAGCGCGCCCACGCCUAAGCUAGAGGUUCCUUUUUCUUUCAAAAAAAAAAAAAAAAAAAGAGGUCAAAAUUCCAAAGGACCCGAAACCCUAAUCUUUUUCUCCUUCUCCUUUCUUUUCUUUCUUUUCUUUCUUCUUCUUCUUUCCUUUCCUCUGCUUGGUCCGCCGCCGCGCCCACUUGGCCGCACGCCGCCAUUGCUGUCCGCCGCCACGCAACGCCCUCCUCCUGCACCGUGGACCUCGCCCUUGCAACCAACUGCGCGAGAUCCUGCCCGCACGCCGCGCCUCCAAGCGAUCUGGCAGAUCGCGCACCAGCAGCCGCAGCAGGCCAGCGAGCAGCAGCUGCAGUCGCGGACUGCAAUCAGCGAACGCAGCUUGCCCCUUGCGCGGGACCUCCAGCCAAGCUUGCAGCAGCCUUGCGUAGCCUCCUCUGCGCGCAUCACCUCCUGCGCAACCUGCAGCCUAGGUGCUCCAGUCCACCACCAGCCCCCCCCGCGCGCUUCCUCUGCGCACCAGCCCCUGCGUGCACCAGUUCCAUCGCGCAACCCAGGUGCGCAGCGCCUGGCCGAGAGCAGCAGCAGCCUGCGCGCUUGCACCUGUGCGCCAGCACCAGCCCCAGCCCGCGCGCGAGCUCAGUCUAGGCGCGAUCCAUCCGCGCACCUCGCCAGUGGCCGUCACGCGCCUUCCUCCACUCCGUUGCCGCCCCUGCUCUCUCCGGUGAAUUCUUUCUUUAAUUUUCUGUCACUAAUUAGCUGAGGCCAGAUUACUAGCUUUUACUAGCUGAUGCCAGAUUUUAGCUGAGGCCAGAUUUUUUAUUUGCUAGCUGAGGACAGAAAUUUUGUGCUAUUUGGGUGCUAUUUGGCUGAUUGUAGAUUAUUUGUCAAAUUUUGUGUUCAACCAGUCUAUUUGGGGGAUGUUUUUACUUUGACUACCUGUUUAAUUAGUUUUUGGGAAAACUUGCUAUGUUUAUCUAAUUAAUUGAUUUUUGGGUUGAAUUGGUAGUAUUUGGAGAAAAUUUUGCUGCUCUCAAGCUUAAUUAAUUUUUGGGGUGUGUUCAUAGGUCUUUCUGCACUUGUCUGUGAUUGGGAGCUGUAUUUAGUUGUCAUUUGCUUUGUUGGUUGUUUGUUGACCUCUUUGGAAUACCAUUCCCUUGCCUCCACCCUGCCCUCUGAUUUCAAAUGACUAAACCAAAAAAAUAAGGGCGAGAACAAGCCCGCCUUUCCCUCCACAGCUGUAGGUCAUUUCUGCCCCCUCAUUUUUAAGGGAAGUGUGGUUGCCCAAGUACCUCUGUUUUGAUCUUUCUUUGCUUACAUUGAGGGCAAUGUAAGGUUUAGGUGUGGGGGAGGGUUAACUAUGCUUUAGCUGUUUUUUAGUUGUCUGAUUAAAUUUUUCCUUGCCUUAGUAGUUCCUUUCUUCAAACUGUGAUGAAUGCAAUUGAGAUAUGAGUACGAGUAGUAAGUUCAUACCAUUGGGUGCUCUAUUUUCCUCGAUGAUGAAUUGAUUGAUGAAUAUGCUGAAUUUGGCAUGAAUUUGAUCACUUGUGUGAUUUUUGGGCCUAAUUUUUCGUUUGCUGAGUGAUUAGUGCACAUGGUUUGUCAUUCUAGAACUUGCUCGGUUAUGCAUGUCAAGACCACAUUUAAAUGAGGUUAAUGCAUUGAAAUGAUAGGGCACUUAGGAAUGAGCCAUUUUUGGACUUUCUUAAAACCAACCCUUGGAUUAGUUACCACUAGGGAGCCAAGUUGAGCCUUAACCCUUAUUCUUUGCUUGAGACCCUAGUUUUUAGCCGUAAAAUCUCCUUUUAGACUUUCUUUUUGAAUCUCAUGUGAAGAAGUGCUUUGAUUUCAUUAUACAGAAUUUUGGAGUAUUAUUUGAGAGGCAUUACACCUAUGAAAAAAAGAGAGGUGAAAACACAAAAAAAAAAAAGAAGGGGAAAUGUGAAAAGAAGACAAAGUGCAGGAAAUCAACAAGUAAAGUUGAUUUUUAUGGUGUUGGUUGGGAGUUAUUGAAAAAAAAAACAAAAAAAAAAAGAAAAAAAGGAGAGGGGAAGUAGAUGAAUGAAAAGAGGAGAAAGAAAAAGUCGAAGGUUGUGACAAGUGCUAAUUUACUUCACUUGUGUGAUGGUUGAGAUGCCUUGAAGUUUCAAAUGUGCAAGAAUCUGUGUAAUUAAUUUCUGAGCACUUUCUUUAUACUUUUACACCCUUUUGAUUCCUUUUUAUCCUACCCUCUCACCCUAACCCCAUAACAACCUUUCAAAGUCCCUUGAUUGCUGCAUUGAAAUUCAUAAGCAAGUGGUGGCGAUAUGAUAUAUGAGCAAGCCUAUGGUAGUGUCAUUCUAUUGUGUUGAUUUGAGAGUUAUCUUAUAUACAUAUCCUAUACACUUGGAGUGAAUGAGUGCACUUCGAACUGCGGGAAUUGACAAUUUGGUUUAUUCUGAUUUCGGUGAGGUUAUUGGGAAAUUUGGGAUGCCAUUCUUGGUAUGAACUGCUGUGAAUUGCUUAAUAUCUUGAUUGCGCUUGUGAGUUAAUUAUGCUUGAGGGCAAGCAUAGUUUAGGUGUGGGGGAAAUUGAUAGGUUGUAUUUUUGCCAUUAAUUCUAUGAUUAUUUUCCUCUUUUAUUAUACCAAAUAUUAUUUUAAUUGAUUGAUUCUACUUAUAUUUGGUAUUUGGUACUAAUUGUAGGAAGGUGGAGUAAAAAGAGAAUAAAAGAUGUGAUUUUUCAAGAGUUUUCCAAUUCAAAAUGGAGUCUAUGUAGAUUAUUGACGGAGGAUUAGGAGAGAAGUAUUAUACUCCUAGUAGGUCUGCUUGGCUUGGCAUGUAUUUCGUCUGGCUUUGAAUGGUUUGUAAGCAAUCAGGAGACAAGAAAGCCACGGUUGUUGACCUUGGAAAGUGGGGACCAUUGCAAUUGUCUUCCAAUCUUGCUUUGACCGAAAUUGAAGGGAGAAAAAGGGAAUCUCUCGUAUGUUUUGUGAGAGACCCUUGAGAGCCACUAUUGUUGACUAUUAUUAGGGGACUUGGUUUUUGUUUUGACUGGCAGUGGUUUUCAAAAGCAAUUCCUUAGCUUUCGAAUUGAAGGGGCGGCAGAUGAGGAGUUUAGCCAGCAACAAAUUCGCAGGCACUUAGGUCUUUAUUUUUCCUCCGGAGCCGACUUUUUAAAGGAGAAAAACAUUAGAAAAGCUCGGAUAUUAUUUUUAUUCUUGGACAGCUGGUUCUCCAUUAAUGGAGAACUAGCUUCUCAAUUCUAGUCAAGGGAACAACUGAAGAUUUGGUUCAACAAUUACUGUGAGAUCUAAUUUAUUUUAAUUGCUUCCUUCAUUUAUUGGUAUUCAUAUGUUUCCUGCUUUUAACCGUUAUAGCUCGUGUGGAUGAUUGAUUAGUGCGCAAUAAUUAAUUAUUCAUAUAGGCUAUUUUGCUAAAUAGGGGUAAUUGAAUCCGUAAUUGUUCGUUAUCCCUAUCUCAGUAGCAACUGGCGUAAUUGGGUUUAUGUCAGGGGAACAUAGAUCUAACUUAAACAAACCCUCGUAGCGUGUUUGUUAGUUAGGAUUGGGUCUUUCUAAUUAUUAAUGCAAUCUAGAAAUUAAAUCCUACGGUCGUACCUAGGGUUGUUUUUGGGUUAGAGAAAUAGUUAACGGUCGUACCUUAACUAUCGGGGAAAUUAAGGAAAGGUUGGUUGUUUAUCGCGUGCAUGACAACUAUAACUAAUCUAUUAAUAAAUGUGGAAUUAUCUGUGAAUCAAUGAUCAGUGGCUGAACCAUUUCUGAAGUGUACCCUUGGCUAGAGUUUUCCCUUAAUUAUUUCUCUUAAUCAAUUAUUUUCUGCAGUUAAUUUAUUUAGUUAGCAUUUAAUCCAAAACCCCCAUACCUUGGACUCUAGAAGAAACGAAUUAUCCCCAGUCCCUGUGGAUUCGACCCUACUCACUGCUAUAUACAAAAUCUGUAUUUUUCUCGAGUUGGUACUUAUUAUUGCACAGGUUCGGUACCUGUCAGGGCAAAAGCUCAUCACUAGCUCAGGUUGGGGACAUGGUGGAUAAUUGUUCAUCCUCAUUGAUUGCAGCCCUUCUUGAAAAAGCAUUGUCUUAUCUUCAAGCUCCAUUCCUAAUGCUUUUGUCAUUUGCUCAAGGGCCUUGAUGGCAAGAAUUUUCAAUUCCCUUGAGUACUUGUCUAGAGUUUCUCAACAAUGUUAAAAAAAAUGUAAAUAAAAAGUAAAGAAUAUCCAAUAUAUAAUAACAAUGCACAAUGCUUUAGAUGUUAACUAAUUUUUUAUGCAUGCCAGGAUGGAUGUUUUAUCAUCAUCUCACGGUGACAUGGCUUAUUAAUUUUCCUCAUAAAGACAAUUAAGAAGGUAAGAUUUAAGAAAGGGAUAAUUUCAUAAACCUUCCCUAAGUUUUUUAACAAUUUCAUUGGGCUUCCUUAAGGUUUCAAAAAUUACACCUACCUCCCCUAAUUUGACACUUUUGGUAACCAAACCUUAGACUUGGUCAAAAUUUUUAAUGAAUAUCCUAAAAUACCCUCAACUUAUAACGUUUGAAUUACUUUCCAGAACAAUCAUAAUAUAUUUAACACAAAUAUACAAAAAGAGUGUGAAGUUUUUAACACCAUAUUUAUUAUUUGAUAAGCAAAGAUGACAAUAGUUCUAUCACUAUCCUUUUCACCGGUAAAUAAUAAACACACACACCCAGAAUCUAAGGUAAUUCCACUGGUUUACCCAAAAGGCAAUUGCUCAAUAGUUCUAUCACUAUGAUAAACUACUUUUAAUGGUGAUUUACCAGGGUAUGUAUUUUUUAAUUUGAAAAAGAAAAUACCGUCAUAAUUCUUUUAAAUUUGCAGAAUUUUGGAUCGGUGGAACUAUCAUAGCUUGGUAGCAAUUUUGGGCUUUUUUUUUUGAGUUAAUGUUGCUUUUGGUACCAAAAACAAUCAGUAAGUAAAAAUUAGAUCACAUUCAAAGUCAUAAAAAAUGUCACUAGUAAAACAUUUAUGCUGCCAAUGUUUAUAUUUUAUGGUUUUAUUGGCAAAAAUAUAAAAAGGGGAAUAAGAAUAGAAAAAGAAAAGAAAAAUAAUUAUUAAUACCAUUCUUUGUAAAAGUAUAUCUAACAAGAGAGUUUUAUUAAAAUGUUAAAACAAUAUUAUCAUUUUAUGUGGGCAAAGGAGGUAAAUGUUAUUUUUAUAACCUCGAAGGAGCUCAAUGAAAUUAUCAGAAACCUGAGGAGAGGUUUCUGAAAUUGUCCCUUUAAGAAAAGCAAGAGAGGAUAUAUUUUUCUGUAUGAGCGAGAGGGAGAGAGAGAGAGAGAGAGAGAGAGAUGAUAUAAUUUAUUUUUUAUCAAUCGUCAUGAUCUACUCUAUUCAUACUCUAACCUAUUCUAGGGGAGACCCAACUGAAUCUAUUGGGGAACCAACGAGGAUUGAAUCACCAUCGAAUCAAACUAUUUCUACUAUAAUCUAUUUUAGGGGAAGGCUCAACUGAAUCCAUAGAAAAACCAACGGGAAUUGAAUCACCAUUGAAUCAAACGUACGCACUCAGAUGGAUUUGAGAAAAUCACAUAUAGUAGCAAAGUGAUGGGGGAUAAGAUUUGAACCUUUAACCUCCCACUCCACCAAGACUUUAAGUCAUUGGGUGGCCAAUAGCCAUAUGAUUAAAAGAAGAGAAAUGUUGGAAAACCAUUAAGAAUGCCUCCAAGGUAAAAAAAUAAGAAGAAAAGGCCUAUUAUGUGGAGACUUUAAGAGAGAUAAUGAUCAAAAUAUUCAAUCCUUAGGACACUUUGUGGCUGACAAGCUGUCUUUUUUUUUUUUUUUUUCCUUUCUUUGAAGGAGUGGCUGAUAAGCUGUCUUGAUCAUUACACAUGGAAUUUUAUUGAAGGGAUAACAUUCGAUGUUUCAUGUUGUACGUUGGCCCCUAAGACAGUACGACUUCCAAAUAAAUGCAUCUACAUAAUAAAAAAUAUAUAUAUUACGUACAGUCGGAUAUUCUCUGCUACAACUUUUCAUGUAACAGCAUUUGGCUUUAUUAUUGCCUCCUCGGUUUCAAUUAUAUGUAAAAGCUUUUUUCUGUUAACCAAUUAUAUGUUUAGUUCUGGCGGGCUACCUACCAGCAUUAUCAAAUUUUUUUUUCUGAAUAAAGCAUUUUAGUCAUCAAUGGUAUACUUUUUAUAAACAAAUUGUGAUUAUUUUUUACCCCUCAACAACUGAAUGAGACAUAUAUUAUUAUUUUUUUUUUGACAAAACAAAAUUCACAAACACUGAUUAAGAUGCUGCAUAACCAUUAUUUCAGUGAUGAAGAUUUAUUGCGUACUUCCGUCUACCAAUUAAUCCCUGAUUUCCAUAAAAUAAAAUCAAUGCAGUAUUUGUAAUCUAUCGAUUUCCCCUCUUCUAAUUUUCCCAAAUCUCUAACUACAACCCUUAAUUCAUAAACUUCCAUGCAAUGUUGGUAUUACAAAGAUAAUCGACAUUGCCACUGUAGAAAUAAAGGAGCAGAGGAGAUAAGGAAUAAAUUAGCAAGCGGUAGUAUAUAAAGAACCAAAUUAACCACCACUGCUAUAAUAAAGGACCAAAAUGUUCAUAUUUCCAUCAAUUAAAAUACAUGAAAGAAUCAAACCGCCACACUUAAAUAAUGUCUCUUAUUGUAAAUCCAGUUUACAAAUCAUAAAAAUCAUCAUUAUAUCUCUUUACAAUUUCAAUUCUAGACUUUCAGUUUCUUUAUAUAUAUCAAGAUGUUGACAAUUUAUGUAAAAGAAAAUAGAAAGAUUACAGGUACGGUGAUUUGCAAAGUUACAGACUGCUACUAACCACUUAUUUUCUUAACCUAUUACUAGUCUGUGAUCAUCUUAUCCCUAUCCUAGCUUUAAGUAUUUUCACCCACAAAAUUUUGAAAAGUUUAGACAAGUGUAGAGAAUUUUAGACGCUUAUGACUUUCAAAAGUUAUACUAUGUGUGAUGUUACUAUAGUCCUCAUGUGUUUGACAACACAAUUCAUCAUUUAAACUUAAUGUAUUUAGAUCUUAAUAUAAUCAGAUACAUUUGUUAACCAAAAAUUGAACAUCUAAAUUAAUUAAGUGUUAUUAAAUUUUUUAGGCAAAACUUGCUAUAAAAAAUAAGUAAUAAACUUUUCACUUAUCACCGAAUGUGAUAUGCACUCAAAUGUAUUUGAUUUAAUACUUAAUAAUUCAAUAAUUUAAUGGAUUCAAAUUUCAAAUUUCAGUUUUUAAACUUCAAUUUUAUCAAAUGCAUCCUAAAUACAAUGAUAUGAAUGUGUGGGCAAAUUUUCUUGUACCUGAAUGGAAAGAGGAAGGUUGGGAAGUAAAUGAGGUUUUCUCAAGUGAGUUGGCAGAGUGACCAUGUAAAACAUGUCAGCCCAGUCAAGUUUUUGUUCCUCAGAUACAACAAAGGCCUGUCCAUAUCCUUCUACAUCGCCCGGUUCUUGGGCAAAUCUCUUCUUCUCUUCAAUCGUCAAAUUGAAAAACUUUUGCAUCUCUAGUUUCAGUUUGUCCACUAAUGAAGAGCUCACUCCAUGAUUAAUCAGCUGGUGACAAAUUGUACAGUCACUAAUUAUUUGGUGCUGACUAUUAUAACACUUCUCCAUUUUAACAGCAGGCAUGUAUAUCCAUUUAAAUUAGAUGAUUGUCCUUGUAUAACAAUUCAAAGAAGAUCCUAGGAAAAGCAGGAAAGAAAAGGAGAUCACUCCUAUUACAUUCUAGUCAUGCAUUAUGUACUACUACUAGAGAAAACCGAAUGAGUUCAUAUGAAAAGAAACAUUUCAAUAUGAAAAAAAAAACUUGCGGCAAGAUAUAUCAUUUACCUACAGUCCUGAAAAGUCAUAGUUAUUAACAUAAUAAAUAUUUCAGAAUAAUUUUAUUCCCUUGAAAGUAAGUUAAAGUUGUGGUAAAAACCAGAUUGAAAUGACUAGUAGAUUUUGAGCAAAUACUAUUACAAUCAGACUCCAUUAUUAGGUCAACAACAGUACCUAAUAUAUGCAUAUACAAAUACGAAAUGACAAACCUAAAAGAAGCCCCAUUCUUUGCAGGCAAAAUGCAACUUUCAAGCUCUGGAUUCACUGAUUCAUCAGAAAGCAACCUUUGCAUGUCAAUUACUGGGAUUUCCUCUGUGGAGACCCCAUGAAGUUUGGUUGGAUCAGGUCGUAUGUAUCGGGGUGGAACUGAUGCAUGACAAAUUUCUCCUUAGCCAACUCCUGAACAUAGGGUACUUUUAGAGAGCUUCCCAAAUUUAUCAUACCAGAUUCCACGUUUGUGGUUUGUGUAAAUCUCUACCUAUAUAUAUAUAUAUACACACACACACACACACGUAGCUCCAAGUUGCAAUUGAUAUCAAUUCGUGAUCAAGGCACACUUUAUAUGUGUCAUAUGCGUAAAAGUUAUUUUACUAAAAUUUGGUUUUACAUUUUGAAAUUUUUAGAGAUAAUGUAAAAGAUGACACAAAAUUUUAGUACCACAGAUUCAAAUCACACUUUAUAUACUUAGAUAUUCGAAAGAUGUUUCCUUAGUGACAUGUUAUAGUUCUUGGACAAACCUACUUACUUUUGUUAAGGUUAAUAAAAGACUAAAGGAAUUUUGGAAAUUUUCAUUAAUAUUAUGUUCAUAACGUUUAAUUGUAUAUUCUAAUUUUGGUAAAUUUGCCAACCUCAAACCUGAUCAUAUGCUACUUUGGUAAGAUUAAUUAAAAAAUGAAAUUUAGAUUUCACAAUUAUUGGCACUCUUUCCUAUUUUUGAUAUGUCACAUUUGGAAUAUUCUACUUUUAGAAACUAAAACUUAACUAAUAAAACAAUAUUUUUAGAUUUAACCCAAACAAAAAGCAUUAAUGAUAUUUUGAUCAAUGCAAUAAAUUAAAAUCUGAGAAAAACAAAUGGGGAGCUGAAGGCUCAUUGAGAGGUUUAGGUUGAAAAAUGUACGUCUCCACAUAAAUAAAUAAAUAAAUAUAUAUAUAAAGUAAAUUUUCUGAUUUGUUUUAUGACAAGGUCAGUAUUUUUGUCAUGGCUAACUCCUUUCAUGAAUUAUGCAAAACACAAUCCACAUACACACACACACACACACAUACAUACAUACAUACAUAUAUACAUACAUAUAUAUGUAUAAAAAAGAUUAAUUCAUAUAUAAAUACACACAAAUUUUCUGAUUUGUUUUAUGACAAGGCUAGUGUUUUUGUUAUCGCUAACUCCUUUCAUGAAUCAUGCGCAACACAAUCCACCAUGGCUGACGAUUUGAUUUUGUUUAUCGAGUUUUCUCUCAACUGAAAAAGAGCUUAUCGUUCAUUUUGAAUAUCAGUGACACUUGAAUAAUAAGCUUGUUUAGUACAACUAAAUGGAAUUUCUUUGGAAUUGGUCAUCUGAAAAAGUAAUCUCAGAGAAAGCACCAGCUACGGUUAUAAAUGUUUCUACAAAAUUGUUGAUAACAUGGCGACGACUUAAAGUCUUCAUGGAACGUCUCUGGAGUGAUGUAUUUCUUUAUCAAUUUGUAUCAAAAUUGGAUUAGUCCAUCUCCAAAAAUUGAUGAAAUACAAAUAUUAACAACGUAACUAAGAAUACAGCAAGUUUUAUCACUUAUUAAAAAUUGUGUCUCAUAAUCAAUCUCAUCUAGUGAACGUUCAUACUAAAACUAUUUAAACCAUCAAUUGCAAUUGCUCUAUCAAUAGUGGAGAAUCUUCACCCAGUUUGAGACUUUUCCCAGACUGCGUAUAUACAUGCAAUUAAUAUGUCGUUUGGAAUUUUGCACUUCAACUAUAAAUGGAUUGGUUUUAACAUUAUUACCCAUAGGUUGGCUUUAUUCUAGGAGUUGUUUUGCUUCUAAAAUGACUCGUAUACAUCAGAGGCAUGAACAGAUAGUACCUUAUUGGUUGAGGCCUCGACAAUAAUUGAAAGUAUUAGAACCGCAAGCCAACUAUUCUAACCCCUUUGAAAUGCUAAACGUGUAGAAGAUGGAAGUACUGGUAAAAUUAGUAAUUCCAUUACCAGAAGUGGCAAAGUGCAAAAAAUUAAGAUAACGUUAAGGAAAAAGUGCGAAUUACACUAAAAGUUAGGGGCUUUGAUUAUUUUACCUUUUGUUUUGUUAGGUGGUUGUAUAUCAUCGAACCUAUAGGUGAUGGUACAUCCACAGUUUUCGAUAUUUAUUUUCAUUAAUUCCUAGUCAUUACUUUAAGUUAAUCUUAUGCGUGUCGAUUUAGAUAAAAUUAUGGUCAAGUCUUGUGGUUGAUAGCGAAAAUGUUGCUGAAGGUUUUAAAUAUAAAAUCAGUUCAUUUAUUGUCUUGGAAAAAAAAAUCAAAAUACUUCUAGGCACAUAAUCUUCAAGGGUUCUCUCGAGAAUUAGCAAAUACGUGUUGAUCUAGAAGGUCACCCCAAAAUCUUCAAGGAUUCAAGUGCUAAUUUGUCAACAUGAAUCAAGGUACGCUUCUGCAAUUUUUCUGUUAAUUUAUUUCUUAAUAAUAGCUAUAUAAAUUUUAAUUUUAAUAGGUGAUAGUUUUCACCUAAAAUAAACAACCACUCUAACAAGUGGUAUCAGAGCCCAUAUGAUUGAUUAUUAGGAAAUAAUUUGGAUUCAGUAAUUUUUAUCUUAAAGAAUAAUUAUGUAUGAUAUUUGUGAAGAAUCGGCAAACGAGAUAUUUGUUGAAACCAUGAUUGUUGACUUUUUCGUUCAUAAUUUAUUGCUUUGUGGCUCGGCUUUUGGAUUUACGGCAUCAUGAUUGCUUGCAUAUGUUGUUAUCCAGUUUUCAUGACAGUAGGCAAUUCAUGAAUUGCACGAUUCAUUGUUUGGUUAAUGUUGAAUUCAGUGGUCCCACUUUGAUUCAGUGCUAGGUUUGGAUAAUAUAAGAAGUUGUAUACGGAACUAGUUCUAGGCUUGACAAUGAUGGCGCACCUAAAGAGCUGCUAUUAUAAUUAAUUUCAUCCAUAUUCCACCUAAAUGCAGUGUUUCAAAGGCAACCCAUGGAACCAUGUAGUACAAAUUAAACCUUCUCAAAUCUCUUGGGCCUGCAAAUUACGUUGAUUUGGUAGACCCAUUGAUAAUUACCUCCUCCUUGGUCACAUUAAAAAAAAACAAGUUUUAUCGCUUCGAAAUUUUAAAAUUGACUUAUGAUUAAGGGUCUAUCAGCUACUGUCUUCGAAAAUGGUUCAUCACCUGCACUUCAUGAUGUUAUCCAAAUUUUAGAUUAUUCUCAAAUAUUUAUUGAAAUUAUACUGACCUUGCUACAUAGACGGAAGCAUAACAAUUACUUUGAUUUAAAAAAAACUAUAUAUAUAUAUAUAUAUAUAUAUAUUUUUUAAUAUUAAAUUUUAUAAAUUUUUGUGGAGGCAAAAGUUAACAUUUAUGCUUUCAAACCUUUAAUGAGGGAAAACUAAAAUUUCUAGGCUUUAGAGAGUCGGUGACUAGAGGAAUGACAAUGAGGUGGAUAUGAGGCUAGAAACCCUCACCCCUCUCCCUCCUUGUGCUUUAAAAACUUGUCCUGGCUUUAGUGCUAUCCCCCACUUCUCUUACCCCCGCGCCCAUCCAUUUACCCAACCGGGGUGCCCUGAUGGGUGGUUCAAAAUAAAAUUUUUUUUAAUCUUAUUUUUUCAUAUAUAAUAUUAACAAAUAACUUUAUAAAUCAAUCUUUUGGACUUUUAACUAAUAUUCAACAUGACAUUAUGUUUAAAAUCUACUUUAAUCUUUUAAAAACAUUUCUCCGUAUUUGUUAGCAAAUCUAAACUAACAGCUGUUACUAUUAUUGUUACAAAAUUAUAAAUAAUAUAAUAUGUACAUAGAUAUUGGCAAAUAUAGCUGCAUAUUAAUUAAUUUAUUUAAUUUAUAGGCAAGGAUGGUGCGGGAUGGUAGCCACAUGGUGGGGGGGAAAAAAUCCCCACCACUAGGGCUGCAUACGAGCCGAGCCGAGUCGAGUUUUGGCCUAAUCAAACCGAGUCUUGACUUAAUUUUGUCGAACUCGAACUCGACAAGCUGACAAUUUUGAAGCUCGAGCUCGAAAAAAUAAAAAUAAUUAUUUUAUUUUUUAAAAAAUAAAUAAAAUAAUAUUUUUUCCUAAUAAAUAAUAAAAUAUGAAGGAUAUUUAUGUAAUUUUACUAUUAAUAUAAUAUAUAUAUAUAUAUAUAUAUACUUGAACUCGCGAGUCGGGCUCAAUAUUUUGAGCUGGACUUUGACUCGACCAGCUUGAGCUCGAUAUUGAUCGAGCUCGAGUCGCGAGCGGCUCGAUUCGUUUGCACCCCUAUCCACCACCCCACUCCUGCCCCCACAGCUCUCUUCACUCCAUUUCUCUCCCCAAAGGACGGGCAUCCAUUCCUAUCAUGACCCCUCCCCACCUCUUAAUUCUCAUGCCAAUGGAUGGGCCAAUUUAGAGGGAAAGUGAAUAAAGUUGGCAUCUAUCUGCCCUAUGGUUUAAGUCGUUAUGGAAAGGAGGUGACCUCUUAGUUCUCAUGCCAUUUCCAGCUUUGAGUGAUGAAACCAGGAAGAUGAAAAUUCUAGGACAAAUUGUCAUGUCUCAAUCAAUGAACUCGAAGAUGGGUCAUGCAACGGCGUGAUUCUUGGCAUGUUAUUGUCCAAUUAGCAAAUUUUGAAAACAUCAUUGAUGGUUGAGAUGAAAGUCAAGUAACAAGAGGUUUAAAACUUUUCGGAUUCUUCUAUUCACGGAACAUAAUAAAAGAUAGGUGCACUCUUCAAUUAUUCAUGCCACCGUAUGUUUCAUUAAUCAACAUUAUUGUUUAUUAUUAAUCGAAUGCAACGUUCUAGCUUUGGAUUAUAAAAGAAGUUGUAUACGGAACUAGAUUAUAGGCUGACAAAGAUGUCUUAUCUAAUUAAAAAGGUGCUAUUCCUAUUAAUUUCAUCCAUAUUUCACCUAAACGUACUAUUUUAAGGGUAGCCUAUGGUACCGAAUUAGGUAUGUCAAUGGAUCAGAUUUUUUCUAAAUCAAAUCCAAAUCCAGUAUAUCUGAGUUGGGUUUAGGUUUAAUUUAUUAAACCCAGACCCUAACCAAAUCUAGAUCCUAUAAGAGAAUCAUGAAUUUGGGUGGAGUAUGGUUUUCUAUGAUUUAGAUCCAAAUUCAAAUCCAAAUUAGACCCUACCAAUACCCAUGUAAUAUUCUAUGUGUUUGUAUGUAUAAGUAAAUUCGGAAAAUAACCUAAUAUUCUAUGUCAUUAUAAUUGAUACAAACAUUUUCAAGAAAAAGAGAAAAAAUGAAAGCAAAUAAAUAAAAGAUUGAAUAUAGACACAGAUGAAACUUUGAAAACAAAUAGUUUUAGUUGAUAAUAAUUCUUUCUUUCAGUUCAUAAUAUUGUGUUCAACAUCAUGAAUGUUGAUUUUAUUAUUUGAAAAUAAAAAUUCGAUGAUAUUUAUGUUAUUUUUUAACUCUAUAUAUUUUCAAAAUAUUUUUACUUUGGUUCUUCACUGUAUGUUCAAAAAAGUAUUCGGAAAUACCCGUUGAAUACCUAAACCUAUGAGGGUUCGAGUUUGAGUUUACUUUUUGAGACCCAUAAGGGGUUGGGUAUAGGUUUAGGUCUAACUAAAUUUAAUAAGUUUGAAUGUAGAUCAAAGGGAUCCAAAUCAAACCCUACCUAUUAAAAUACCUAUAAAAUACCUAUACUAUAUAAUAUAAAUUAAACCUUGUCAAAUCCUUUGGGCCCACAAAUUAUGUUGACUUGGUAAACCCCUGUAUAAUUACCUCCAUCUUUUUUUAUAUAAAAUAUCAUAAUUUCAUUAAAAUUUGUAUUAAUGAUAGAAAUUACAUCAUCAAACAUACACAGAUAUUAAAGAACAGGAUAAUAUGGUGAGAUCUAUCGAAUAGAUCCAAUUAGCAAAUCUUUGCAAAUCUAAUUAGCAAAUAUUUGCAACAUCAUUGAUGAUUGAGAUAUAGUCAAGUAACAAGGUUUAAAACUUUUAGAAUUGUUCCAUUUAGGACACACGAUAAGAGAUGAAUCUACUUUCCAAUUAUUUGCACAAGAUUUUAUAAUUCAAAAUAUAAAUAAUAAUAAUUGAAAUUUAUAGCGAGUCCACCCUUUCUAUUUUAUAUGCUUAUUCUGUGCUAUACUUUUGAGGACAUAAUAGAAAAACCCAAAAUUUGAAUUUAAUACCAUAUCAACACAUAGUUUUCCUUUUGAUUUUUCUAUGUUGCCACAUAAGAUUGAUAUUUAUUUGAUAAAUGUUAGAGUUAAUGAAACUAAUUUGACAAACUGUUGAUAGAAGUGGACAUGGCAUUGACUCUGUAAUUCUUCUAUUGAUUAAGGUUUCUUAUCCUAUGCACUUGGAAGUUGACGUUUUAACUUUUAGGGGGAAAAAAAUAAAAGGAAUAGUGAGAUGUCCGCUUAGAAGUUAGAAUUGGGGCCAUCAGCCUAACACUUUCGUCUUUUAAAACAUUCCCAAUCGGUUUCAUCUGGCUAAAUUUCCACAAUGUUGAUGGGGUAAGAUUAGAAGGAGCGAAGUUAUGCCAGUGAAUACAAUAUGAAAUAAACGAAAAUCAAACUUAUGGAAUAGCAAUAUAUUCAAAGAUUUAUAAUUGUGCCUAAAAUAAGUACUAGAGGGAAAAGGUAAAAUAGCAAAGAGUUUUUUUUGUAUUUUUUUUGGGGUUCCCCUUAUCAAGAUCUGGCAUAAAGAAUGACUUCUAAUGCGUCGUUGAUAGCACAUACAAUUACCCAUCAUUCUCUUUCAUAUUUAAAAAAUAGAUUAGUUUUCUAUAUAUUAAUAAUGUAUACAGUAUUAGACCCCAAUACAUACUAUUUGUUUCAAAUUUUGAAUUUUAAAUUUAAAUUAAUAUUAGUUGUCAUGCAUUCGAAUCUAAUAGCAUAAAUAGUAUCAAUGUAUACGGGAUUAAUUCUUAAACAAUUAUACAAUUUGUGGUGAAUGAAAGUUGGGGGAGGCAAUGGUGAGGGGACACCAUAUCAACAGUGUACACAAGUUUCAAAGAGAACUAUCAUAAAGGGACUAAGAGCCUAAAAGUCUUCGAUUUGGGUCCUGAAUGCGUCAACGAAUGAUUUCCCAUCUAGUUCACGGUAAAAAAACGCUUUUAAAUAGUCAAUGAUACUAAUUCUUCUGAAAAUUGCUGGAUUUUCAGGGGUGAUAAGACUUGGCGCUAGACCCAUAUCACCAUCCAGUUUUGGGACAAGAAACGUUGCAAUGGAAAGCCCUUCGUUGUGCAAAUUCACAGUUGCCCGAUGCUCAACACUCUUGUAAAUUCCGUUUGGCACAAUUUGCAUCUCAGUUCAAAAACGUCACAUUUUUCCCAACUGUGUACUAUGUAGCAUACAUUCUCAUAAAAGUUCAAUUAGGCUCAAUAAUACGAUAUGGUUAACAGGGUAAUCUUGUGAGUCCACC